GGCAACUUGUCUACUUAAAUCUCACCGAUAAUCGUAUCAGUGGGUCACUUUCCCAAGAUAUUUCUGAUAGCUUGCCCAAUGUCGGUUACUUGCUUCUUGGAAACAACCUUAUAAGUGGUCCUAUUCCAAACUCAUUGUGCAGAAUAGGGUCCUUGUACAAUCUUGACCUUUCAGGAAACAUGUUAGUUGGUGAAAUUCCUAAUUGUUGGAGUGUUACUCAAAGACUCGGUGUCAUAAAUUUGCAAUCCAACAAGUUAUCAGGUGUCAUUCCUAGCUCUCUUGGUAAUCUACCAACGUUGGCAUGGUUACAUUUGAACAAUAACAGCCUUCAUGGGAGCUUUCCAUCAUCUUUGAGAAAUUUAAAUCAACUUUUAAUUUUGGAUGUUGGAGAGAACCAUUUGUCUGGGAUUAUCCCUUCAUGGAUGGGGAAUAUCUUUUCCUCAAUGCAGAUUCUAAGGCUACGGCAAAACAGGUUGAAUGGAACAAUUCCUUUACAAUUGUGCCAACUUUCUGCACUGCAAAUUUUGGAUCUUUCAAACAACAAAUUGAUGGGUCGAAUCCCUCAUUGCAUCGGAAAUCUCACAGGUAUGGCCUCAAAAAAGAAUAUUUCUGCAAAUCAACCUAACAGAACAAUUGAAUGGUAUGAACAAGAGGUUAUAGUGGUGAUGAAAGGAAGAGAACUUGAGUAUACGAGAAAUCUAAAACUCGUGGUGACAUUGGACUUGUCAAAUAACAAUUUGAUUGGAUCAAUUCCAGAAGGAAUAACAUCUUUUCGUGCAUUGCUUAGCCUAAAUCUAUCAUACAAUCUUUUGACAGGACAUAUCCCCAAAAGGAUAGGGGACAUGAAAUCACUAGAAUCUCUUGACCUCUCUCAUAACCAACUUUCUGGUGCAAUUUCUGAAACGAUAAAUGGUUUAAGUUGGUUAAGCCACUUAAACUUGUCCUACAACAACCUUUCAGGACCAAUCCCCCAAGGACCUCAAUUAUCAACCCUUGAUGAUCCUUCUAUUUAUGGUGGCAACUCAUUUCUAUGUGGACCUCCACUGCCGAAUAAGUGUUUUGAUGAUGAUUUCCAAGGAGGUGAUGAAGAUGAAGAAAAAGAUCAGAAAGAUAAAGUAGAGAAAUUGUGGUUUUACUUUGUCAUUGCACUUGGCUAUUUUAUGGGAUUUUGGGCUGUGAGUGGAAGUUUGUUGUUGCAGAGCAAUUGGAGGCUUGCUUACUUUCAAUAUAUUGAGGAGUCAACACAGAGGAUAAAUGUAUCAUUGACAAUACAUUUAGCAACUUUUAAGGAGAGAUUGACAGGAAUGGUGGUGCUGAGUGACACACUAUGGUAGUCUUUAUCCAUUCUGUCUCUCUUUUAUGUUAUUGGAGGAUUUCAUGUUUAUUUUGUUUGAUAAAUAAAUUAGUUAGAUUUUGUAAAAUAGUAAUAAAUGUAAGUUGUAGAAUUUCUAGUUUAACUAAUAAUUGCUGAAAUAUUGCAGAGUGUAUCCUUUUCAAAUUCCAAAAUAAUCUGAGUGAUAUCCAAUCUCCCCUACACUCAUUUAAGAAAGUUGACGUUUUUGGUGACUUGAACUAAUCAUAAUAAUAAUAAUAAUAAUAAUAAUAAUUAUUAUUAUUAUUAUUAUUAUUAUUAUUAUUAUUAUUAUUAUAUAUUUUUAGUUCGAACAUGAAGAAAAUUAAAAUGGGUGUUCAUAGUUCUGACUUUUGCGAGAGUUUUUCUCUGUACCACUGUUGUAUAUAAAUUUUAUACAUUGUCAUAAGAUAUUGCUUUUUUAUUACAAAAUUAAUUUUAUACUGAAAUUAUUUUUUUUUUCAAAACAAACAAUAUUUAAAUUUAUUGUUUUGAACCAACUCUUAAACUAAAAUAAUUAGCUAAAGAAAUUUUAAAUUAUUAUACAAGUAAAUACUUCUUCACCUCAGUGAUAAAAAGAAAAAGAAGACCAUGUAUGGGAAAUACGGUAGAUAGUUAAUUCAUGAGUAAAAUAUAUUUUAAAUUUUUAAACUGAUAUUUAUUAAUGUUUCAAAUUUGAUACAGAAUUAUUUCAAAUUUUAAAAAUAAAUACUUAUAAUUAUUUCAAUUCAGUGUUAAUUUUUUUUUUUGUGUUAAACAUUUUUUAAAAUUAUAACUUUCAGUCCAAAUAUUAGUCUAGAAUAAAAUUUAAGUUUAAGAAUUAAAAAUAUAUUUAAUUUUUAAUUUAUUUAUUUAUCAUUUAUACAUUAAAAAAAUUCUUAUAAUAACUGGUUACUUGGACAUUAUCCAAGACUUUUGCUUCCAAGCAAAUAUAUAAAUAUGAAAGAAAAUAAUCCAAAUUAUUUUUAUUAUUAUAUUUUUCAAUAAAAAAUAAAAAAUAUUUUUAUAUUAUUUUUCAAAAACAUAUAUUAUACUUUUUACAAAUAUUUCUAAAUUAUGCAUUUCUGAAUGUAUAAUUAAAAAAAAUUAGGUUUAAUCCUUUUAAAUGUAAAAUUUUCGCAAAAGUUCUUAAACUUAAAUUAUUAAUAGAGAUUUGACUCAAAAGUCUUCCAAAUUAAGGAAGUUGUUAUAAAAUAAAAAGGUUAAAUCGAUAUUUUAAAAUAAAAUGAAGUUACAAAAACAUAUCAUAGAUGUGCCUUUAAAUUUAAAUUAUUUAUAUUCUCUGCAAUCUUUAAGCAAGUUGUUAUAAAAUAAAAAGGUUAAACCGAUAUUUUAAAAUAAAAUGAAGUUACAAAAAAAAAAUCAUAGAUGUGCCUUUAAAUUUAAAUUAUUUAUAUUUUCUGCAAUCUUUAAAUUUAAAAUUAUUUAAAUUUUCUGCAAAACCAAAUUACAUUUCUCCUACAUUGGUUUUUUAAUUUAUUUUCUCUCAAACCAAUUAAAAUUUUUUCUACUUAAUUUUAAUUAAUUUUUUAAAUUAAACUAAUUUUAAUUUUUUUUUCUUCUUGUGUCUUUUCCCUACUUUUCUUUUUCCUCUUCCCCUUCACAGAAUUCACAAGAUUCUGUUCCAGAAAUUUGUCCCAAAACACGAAUUUUAAUUAGCAAAAACAACUAAAAAACGUGACAGCUAGAUCUGGCUCCAGUACACACAGAGGAAAAAUAAUAUGAAAUUCCCUUCAGAUUUUGACAUUACCAGAAUUAUCUGUGGAAAAACAUAUCACGUCCAACGUGAAUUCACCAUCUUGACUUUUGCUAAACGAUUUCCACAUUUAGAAAUGGACAAAAGGCCAAUAUGAACACUUAAACCAACGCUUGACUUUGCCUUUUCUGACUGUGAUGGAGCUCUGGAACGAAGAUGAGUGGAGGUUUCUAUUCAUUUUUUUUGUAUUUCCUCUACUUUUAAAAUAUACUAUUUUUAUAUAUUAAAAAGGUUUUUAGUACUAUCUUUUAUUUAUUAAGAAUGUUUUUAAUAUAUUUUAAAACAUUAAAAUCAGUAUUUUAAAGACACAACAAAUUUUAAGGCUCGGUAAUUUAAUAUUUAUAUUUAUGUUUUUUAUCUAUUUGUCUUGUUAAAUAGAGUUAAUGUACUCUUAAAUUGACAUGUCAUUACUUAAUUAUUAAUUUAACUUUUAUAUUAUUUUUUACACAAUCGAGUUCGUGUUAUUUUUUAAAUUAAGACAGUGUGAUAUCUUGUUUCUUCCGUAAAAUUAAUCUUAACAUAGGUAAGAAGUAAUCCUGUAUGAAUCUAAAUCUUUUAGAUCCAUGCUCACCUCCUUCGUGUUCAAAAGGAAUAAGUUUUUUUAAGAAUUUUUUUUGACAAUUUUUUGACAACACAUACGUGACAGAUGAUUGGUUCGUUUUAAAUACUUUUCAAGAAGGGUAAUGAUACAUAGACAAAAUUUUUUGACAACAUUUGAACAUCAUCAUACGUGUCAUUGUGUAAUUGGUCCAAAUGACACAAUGACACCACCAUGGACCAAUCACACAACGACACGUGUGAUGAUAUUCAAAUGUUAUCAAAAAAUGUUGUCUAAGUAUUUUUAUCCUUUCAAGAAUAAAUUCAAACAUACCAAUAAAAUAGUAAUACAUGUCCAAAAGUUGUUAAGAAAAAGUUGUUAAAAUAUCAUUAUCCUAUUCAAAAUCCUUUUCUUCAUUUUAUAUAUUACAAUUAUAGAUUAAAAAUUUUGGUUUUUAUCUAUUGCAUCGUAAAUAAAUGAAUAUAUGAAUUUAAUUUAGUUUAGUUGUGAUUUUUAGAUUCUUUCCUAAUUUGACUUUUUAUGUAAGUUAUUUUUAAAUAUGUUAAUAUGGUCUUUCUCACGUGAAAAAGAUCGCGAUGCCAAAAUAUGUGCAAAAGUCCUGUGUGUUAGGAUUAAUUCAUUUGUUUUCUUUGUAAAAAAGUAUUCAUUUUGAAUAUGAGAAAAAAAAAUACAAUUAAUUUUUAAUCCGUUAUAAAUUUAAGUGAUUUUUAUUUGUUAAAAAAUUAUAUACAAAAAUUUUAAACAUAUUAACAUAAAUUUUGUAAAAGAUUUCAAUAAACUCGGAUGUUUGUUUAUAUAAAAAAAAAUAUGUAACAAUAUAAAUGUGACAUCCCAAAUAUCAUAUUCACAUAUAAUAUAAUAGGAUUCAGCUAUUACAAUAUGUGAAAGUAGUUAAGAGAUAAAGAUGACAAUAUUUAAAUAUUUAUACAGUUAUCCGAAAUUUAGUGGAAAUUAAAACGAAAUAAGACUUGAGUACAAGUUCCCCAAAGUUCUCCAAAAUACAUAAUAAACUAAAAUCGAAGGAUGCCUAGAGAGUGUUUCCAAAAAUUAACAAGCUAUUGAAAUAAAAACUAAUAAACGUCCUAAGUACUAGGGGCUGGAUCUUCCUCAGUCUCUCACGCCUGCUCCAAGGGUACCUCAUCACCUACUGCUCACAUCCAUAGGAUUUGAUGAUCAUCGCAAGGGGGAAGGCAAACACAUACAAACAUACAAGUGCAAGGGUGAGCUAGGUCUCAAACAAUCAUACAAUUCAUUGCAAGAACGUUCAUACACACUUAAACAUGUAAGUCAUCAUAAACAUAAACAUUCAUUUCACAAAACUCACUAAANCAAACAUCAUGUCAUGUUAAGACUCCUAGACACGUCCGGACAUAGAAUGUAUAUAGAGCUGGGGCGGGUUGUGCACUUGUGGUGGCCUCUACUGCUUUGCAAAGCCAUUGCCGAGGGGUUUCACCCGACCACACACAAGGUCGGUCCGUUACCACGGAAUAGACCUCCAGUGAUAGCGUCUACCCUAGGACCUCCCACUACUCUCACCACACGCGUCAAUCCUCUCUAAGUGAGAAUGAAAGACCGUUAGAGUGUUAGGGAUAACCCCCCAUAGUGGAAGCCUCUUACAUACAUUCAAUACACUAACUGAUCUCAUCGAGAGAUCUUAAUUUCAUAUUCAAUCCGACCACUUCAAAUCACCUGAUAUUCCUCUUGAAUCAAUAAUGUACCUCAUAAACCACUUUGCUUCAUCAAACAUAAAAUUUCAUAGUCAUUCAAGUACAUUCUUACUAUAUUGGCUCAUACCAAACCCAUACNCCAUCACACAACAUCGACCAUGUCAUAAAACAACUCAUACAUUACAUACUUUCACAAAACCAUCACUUAUUACCACAAAUUUCUUUAUGAUAUUUAAUUAUUAAUACUUAAGUAAUUCAAACAGCCUUGGGACCCUCACCAAUGGUUCCGGAAGGGUAAAAACCCCCAGAACAACCUAAAGAAUGUCCAAAACGGACGUCCGGAACUCCCAAAACGUCAAAAACAAAAAUGACAGCAGAAACAGUGUGCUGAAUGGCGCCCAGGUGGCGCCCAGCGCCAGGAAACAGAACCAAAUGGCGCCCAGCGCCAGUUAGGUGGCGCCCAGCGUGGAUUCUGCAGGUUUUAUGCAGAUUUUGCACAACUCACACCCCUAAGUUCCGUUUUAAACCUUUUUAUGAAUUUCUAAUCAUUAUAACUCGAAAUUUAGGUGUAUUUAAACUUGUCUAAAGGUGUAUAAACAUUCCUAACCUCAAUUCCUAACAACUAUGCAUAGAUUUACACUAAAAAACCUCAAUUCUCUCAACUUAUGGGCUCAAACCUAGAUUUAACACUUGAGGACUGUUCUUGGCUAUUUUGACACUUCUCACAAGUUACUUUGAACUUACAUAAGUUGUCUUAACUGCCUAAUUCAAGUUAUAACCCCUAGAGCUCAAAACCACUACCUCACUUCCUCUAAACUCACCCAAAACACUAGUUUUUCCUCAACCUAAGGACUCAAUUCCACUUCUACCGUCUAGGACCUCAUUUUAACAAUUUCUAUGAUUCUAUUAAGUCACAAUAGACUUACUAACAGUGUCCCAAUAGACCAAUUAUACUUCAGACAUCAACUUCUCAAAAUCACUCCCUUACUUCCUCUAUUUUGCCCCAAACAUUAUAAUUUCACUUAACACUCUACCUAAUAGUUCUUGAAACAGAUUCACCUUACUAAUAACUCAAUCACAACCACACUUCUCCUCCAAAUAUACAUAUUCACAACACCAAUUCAGUUCCGCAAUUUCUCAUUCAAUUACAUACAACAUACUUUCACACCAAACACAAUUGUUCAUCAAACCAGAAAAUAAUACAGAUUUCAACACAUGCAUAAUUCAUACAAACAAUGAAAAACAGUAUCUAGCUCCCCUUACCUCUAGUUUAGACAACCAAGCUCAAGUAGGAACUCUAAACCACUUGCUUGAAAACCCAAAGUAUGAGAAUCACCUAUGAAUCACCAAUUGAUGAUGGAAAAUGAAUUUUAGAACCAAAUAGAAGCUAGAUUAUGGAAGAAAACGAAAUGGGUUGCUUGUAGCAAGAAAUUGCAUGUUUACAAUCCUAGGAAAAAAUGGAGAAAGGGGUUUUCUUACCCGUUGGAUGAAACGAAGAUUUAAUCGGUGGGAAUGCUCCUCUUGAAGCCCUAAAGGCUUGGGUAGCUUCAAUUCAAGAAACAAACGGUGAAAAUUCGAGUUUGGAUGGAUGGAAAAUGGAGCAAUGAAGAAGAAAAGAAGAAGAGUUGUGUUUUAUGAGGAAGUGUCCUGAAAGAACAUGAGAGUGCAAAACUUUUACAAAAGUUUAUUUUUGUGCAUUUAGCCUUGGUCCAAAGACUAGCUGCCACGUGUACUCCACUAAAAAAAAUAUUUUUUUUUCAAGGCAUUACAAUAAGAUAUUAAAAUAUUUGACUAGUUAAAUAUAUUUAAUUUUUUUUGACAAUCUAAACAUAUUUUUAAAUUAUAUAAAAUAAUCAUUUAAUUUUGAUGUGGAAAAAUUCAUUUAAAUCUGAAUUAAAACUAAAUAAAACAUAUUAAUAAUAAAUUUAAGAAUAAUACAUUUUUGAUUUUUUAUAUGUUUUUUUUUAUUUUCUUUUUUUAAUGUAUGAUUUAAAUUUUAUCAAUUAUUUAUUUCUCUUUAAUAAUGAUUAAAUAUAUAUAUAUAUAUAUAUAUUAUAUAAAAAAAAGUUGAAUUUUACUAUAAUUAAUUCAAUAUUCUCUCAUGGGUUAAACUUCAUGUUUCUUGUUUACAAAUUUAUCUUACAUACUGCUUUAUUAAAUAUUAUAAAUUUUUUUCUUUAAAAAGUUAAUAAAAUUAAUAAAUAGAUUAUAAUUAAUGGUUAUAUUAAAUUAUAUAUUAUAUAUUUUAUUUUAAUAAUAUAAUAACAAGAAUCUUAAAAAAAAAAUAUCGAUUUAAAUAUAAUAAAAUUAUAACAAUUAACUUAUCUAAUAAAAUAUAUAAUUUUAUAUGUGAGUAUAAAUAAUAAUAUUAAUUUUAAGAAUUAAUUAAAGUUAUGUAAGAUAAAAUUUAUUUUAUCUCUAAUCCUAACUCUUUUAAAUAUAACACCAGGGGAAAAAAAAUACUUCUAUAACCACUUAUUAUCAUAAGUAACGUCCAACUGUCAUAAAGUAACAUUUUUAAAAUAAUAAAAGUAACAUAACUGAUAAAAGUAACAUUUUUAUAAUAAAAGUAAAAUGGGUUAUAAAAGCAACAUUUUUAUAAUAAAAGUAACCAUAAUAUUCCUUUGCUUUUUGUUCAUUCACGUCAUACUCUCUUUUUUCUCUUCUCUUAUGGUUUCAGUACAUAACGCAUACUCUCUUCUCUUGACCGCCAUCCCAUAGGCCCUUGUCUCCACGCCAUCUCCUCCCCACGUCAUUACUUCUUUACGCCCUCGUCUCCAAGACGCCGUUAACGGAAGUCAGUAUCAUCUCCGACCGAUCUCUGGGUUUGCUGCGUUCUCUGCUUCCGUUUGGGCAAUUAGGUUUUCUCUCUUUCCUCCACUUAGGUGUUUGAUAUUUUGAAAUACUACUACUGGGCUUAACUGUUAUGAAAUACUGCAAUUUUGAAAGCUGAUAAAAUGUAAUUUUAGAUCAUUUUUGCGAUUUUGUUCUAUUUUUUGGCCUGAAUAUUGAUAAAUUUCAUAUCAUUUUGGUUAGAAAUGAACCUAGGGACAAACUUCGUGCUCUAACUAAGGCAGCGACUGUGUAGCUCUUACACUUGUUAGAGGAUGCGGACUUUUUUUAUUAAGGGAAACUUGUAGUGUAGAGAUUUAAGAUCGACAAUGUUGUAAUGACACUAAAUGCUGAGUGUAAAAGGACAACAAGAGAAUAUAAUGUAGUGGAGGUCUAUUAGGUUUCAUUAGCUAGUUAAUUAGGUCAGUGAACUGAAAGAACAAGAUAAUAAAUAAGAGGGUUGAGAGAGAGAUCUGUUUGUCAUUUUAAUAAAUGAUUAUACUUUCAGAAAAUGGAGACCGAGAGGGAACAUGGUCUCUUGAAUACCCUCAAUAUUAUUAAAGUUAAUUUCUUUUAUAAUCAGUGUCUAUUAGUGAUAAAAUUGCUGUAUUGUCAUUUUUUGCAACAUUGUCAAUGUCAUUUCUUAGAAAUUCAUCCAUUGUGAUAUGAAAUGUUUCUGAAAAAAAUAAUUAGUUGUGGGAUCGUUAGUACCAUUCUAAUAGAUAGUAUCCUGAACUUGGAAUGCUUUUUUAUUGUCUUGAUAGUAAACGUCCCUGAGAAAGGAGCAAGGAAGCAUCCACGGGGUGAUAACAUACAGUUAUCUAAUCUUGAAAAGUUUAACCUCUGUCAUUUGUUUCUUGUUUGUUCUGUGAUAUGAUAUGAUUUAUGAAAUUUCUUGCCUGGUAUUAUUUUGGGGCUGCCUUUGAACCUGAAUAAUUCAAAAUUAUGCCUUUAUAUUUUGGGGGACUGCAUUUAUGUUUAUAAUUAUCAUUUUUAAAGACCUUACCAUCACCUAAUUAACAUGAGAGUACUAAUGCUAGAUACAUCUGAGGCUAUAGGUGGUUGGAGGUUAAUUAUGAGGAUGAAAAUAUUAGAUAGAUUAGUUCUUUAGGAACUCUUUCAUCUCCUUAGCAAGUAUUCGUCAAAAUUUUGUCAAUGUUAGUUAGGUUCAACGAUCAGUUCUCAAUCAUUUAGUCAUUAAUUUGCAUAACUGUCCACUUAUUUUUUGAUAUAUAGAUUGACACAAAGAACAUUCUCUUCAUAUGUGCUGGAGCAUUUAUUGACCUUGAAAAAACUAUUUCAGAGAGGUAAAUUUUUUCUAUUUUUUUGUAUUUCUAGAAAGAUUUUUUGUUUAUAGAUUUUUUUGCCUGUCUUGAUUUUGUUAGACUUCUCAUCUAAUUUUGAUUUGUGAAAAAGAGCAGACGGCAAGAUUCUUCUAUUGGUUUUGGGAGACCAAUCCGUGCCAAUGUGACAGCUAGUGGGGUUACACAUGCUGCAGUAACAUCAUCUUUACUUGAGUCGGUAAGAAUCGAUUAUGGUUAUCGGAAUUAGUAUUUUUUUUUUCCACCUUUCUGUAAAACUAGUCAGGCAGAUACUUUGAUUAAUUCAGACUAAAAUGAAUCAUGUGAAUUAGCUAUUCUUAUGUGCACUUUCCAUACUUCUACAUCAUAGAGAAAAAUACUGAAGUUAGAGAAUAAUAUUAUUGUAGCCAACAACCUUCGAAAUGCAUCUAAAAGUGGCAUCAGUUAUUUCAGGUGGAAAGUGCUGAUCUUAUUACAUAUGGUCUCAUCCCAGAGUUUAUCGGACGGUUUCCAAUCUUAGUUAGCUUAUCAGCUCUACGUGAAGACCAACUCAUGCAGGUAUUAUAAGCAUUGUUCAAAUCUUAGUUAUUGUAGUUUUUCCUGCUUUCACUAGCAAUUUAGUGCAUCAAGAGCUAACUCUGCUUGUUGUGUUAAUGAUCAUUCCGUUUUUCACUCAUUGUUGGCGUGGGUGCACACAUGUACAAGGAUUCUUUUUAUAUUAAAUGUUUUCUUAGAAAAGCUAGAAGUUAUUACGACCAUUGUUAUUGGUACGUAGUUGGUCUACAAUUAGAUACAUUGGUGUUUUCCUGGAAGAUGAAUGAUGAUGAAAUUAUGAAAAGAGAUUGUCCCAAACAGUAUAAUGCAAUUUCUUUAAUGUGUCUCUAAACUUAACAUACAAAACUAUAGUUGUUAACUGGUUACUCAUAAACAUGAGUGAACGUUACACCAUUUCAUGUGUUUUCAAUAAAUACUUUUUAGUUUAUCGUAAAGAUUGUGUCGGAAAAAGACUAAGUUUUUGUUUAAUUAGUAAUCUCAGGUUUGAAUCAUGUAUGCUGGCUGCAACAUUACAGACUUAGAAGAAAAGUUACUAUUCAUUAGAAAUCAAAUAGGAUUGUCUAAGUAUCAAGACUAUUGCAAAGUUUCUGGUAUCUUUGGUCAAACUAAUGUACAUCUACAAUUAUAAGUGGAUUCAUGUAUGUAUGUAUAAAUGCAACAGAUUUAGAUGUGAAUUAGAAGAAAAAUAGUCAACAAAGUUUCUGGUUGUUGAUCUGUCAGAUCUAUUAAGGUUAAUUGUGCAAAAGUUGGUCCUAGUGUGAAACUUAGUUUCACAAAAACCCAUAAAUAACUAAAACUUUUUGUACUAAUUAAAAUACUAAAUUCAAACAAUAAAAAAAUUAUAGACCCAAAAUUAUCUAUUAACAGUGCAGUUGUUGUUGCAGCUGCUAGUAUGCGCUGGAUAAUGGCUUCUAAGGAGGACAUCAAAAGAAUUGUUAAACCACUCUUGUUUGUGCUGCGAUCAUCAUCUACUUCAAGAUAUGUGGUAUGUAACAUUCCUUUGAAUCGUUUGUUAGUUUAUUUAUCUUGUCUUCCUUCAGUUCUUCUACAUGGUGAGUUACUUUCAUUUAUUUGUUAUUGGAUAUACUUUUAUAAAUUACACAUGAAUCCAUCUUUUGAGAACCUUGUGUAAAUGUCUAUAAUUUGAUUAUAGGUUGUGUUUUAUUCUUUACUCAUUAUAUUAUUACUGAUUGACUUUUAACUAGAUGAUGUCUCUACUCCCCCUUAAUUAUAUUUUUAUUCCUUAUCAUCCUUGUGCUCAUGAAACUUUUAAAUGACUUUAGUGAGAAGCAUAAGUUGAAUAUAGUGAAAACUAUAUAUGAGAUUAAUCUCCUUUGUAUUGAAUAUACACAUAGGAUCCUUUAUUUAUAAUAAAAGAAAUAUGGACUAAGCCCAAAAUACAAAUAAAAAAUAAUAACAAACUAAUUAAAAAUAAAAGAUAAAUAUAAAAUAAAGAUAAUAUAUCUAACACUCAUCUUAAGCUGGAGCAUACAAAUUGUAUGUACCAAGCUUGAAACAAAUACACUCAAUCCGAGGACCCCUUAAUGACUUGAUCAACACAUCUACUAGUUGAUCGUUUGAUCCAACAAACUUAGUAUAUAUUUUUUUAGUCAACAACUUUUCAAGAACAAAAUGAUAAUCAAUUUCUAUAUAUUUAGUCCUCUCGUGAAACAUUGGAUUUGAUGCAAUGUGGAAAGCAACUUGAUUAUCACAAUACAUCUUAAUAGUAUGGAUGUCACAAAAGUUAAGCUCUUAAAGGAAUUGUUUCACCCAUAUAAAUUCACAUGUGAGUGAUGUCAUCACCCUAUACUCGACUUCUAUUGUUGAUCGAGCAACUACAUUUUGUUUCUUACUUUUCCAUGAAAUAACGUUUCCUCCAAGAAAAACACAAUAUCCUGUAGUAGACCGUCUAUCAAUAGGUGAACUUGCCCAAUCUACAUCACAAUAUCCAAAGACAUGAAUCUUCCUUUAUUUUCAUAUAAUAAACCUUGUCUGGGAGCCUUUUUGUUAUACCUUAGAAUGCGAAUGAGAGCAUUCCAAUGGUCAACACAUGGAACUUGCAUGAACUGAUUAACCACUCCAACUACAAAGGAUAAAUCUGGCCUUGUAAUAGUGAGAUAAAUCAGUUUUUCAACCAACCUCCUAUACCUCUCUGGAUCGGAGAAUAAUUCACCUUCUUCGGUCCUUAAUUUCUGGUUUGGGUUCACGGGACUGUCUAUCGGUCUACAAUCAAUCAUGUCUGUUUCUUGUAAUAUAUCAAGAGCAUACUUACUUUGGGAGAUUACAACUCCAUCUUUUGAUUCUGCUACAUCAAUGUCUAAGAACUAUUUGAGACUUUCAAGAUCCUUGGUUUGAAAAUGUCUACACAAGUAAUUUUUUAGUUGAGAUAUUCCAACAUCAUUUCCUGUAAUGACAAUAUCAUCAACAUAUAUUAUUAACUAAACACAAUUCCCAAGAGAAGAAUUACAGUAACAAAUCAAAUGGUCUACUUCACUACGUUUUAGCCAUUCAUCCUUGGUGAUCUUAGAAGUGGAAGUUUCAGGCUUCGAAGUAGAAGUUUCAAUCUUUGAAAUAUUGGCGAUUUUGGAACCAUGUAAGGAGUAGCAAUUCUCUUGAGUGUGGUCCAUCUUUUUAUAGUAUGUACAUUGAGGACGUCCCCGACCUCUUCCUCUUCCUCCUCUAGUGCCACGUCCUCCUCUUCCUCAUGUGACAACCAUGACAGAUGGUUCCACUAGUUCACGUGCUUCCUGAGUUUGAGGUACCGGGUAGAAGGUGAGUGGUCAAUGUUUCCAUGGAGGGGACCUCAUGACUGGUCAGAAGUUGAUUUCUCGGAUGAUCAAUAUCGGGAUGUAGGACACUCUGGAUCAACACCAUGUAAAAUUUGUCUAGUUUCUUGAUAUCCUCUAAUGGGUCUGCUUCCAAAAGUAUCCCGAGUUCUUCGACAGUAGAUUGGCUUCAACCAUGAAGGACAUCAUAUCAUGGUCUGUUAAUUUAAGAGAUGCAAACUUGUUUGCAAUGUCAUAGAGACGUUGAAUAUCGUUGGCAUAAAUGCUUUGAGCUUUCUUCCAAAAGGAGUGACAAAUUUUGAAAGCCCUCAGAGAUAUAAGAAGUUUGGGUUCCACUGAUUGCCAUAACAGAACACACAACACAUCUUAUAAUAAGGAUUUUUUUUAAUUAAUAUCAAUCAAAGUUAUUUUUGACUAGUGUAAAAUGUAGUUAUUAUAUAUGAUUUAUAUUGCUUAAUAUUUUUUUUUUUUAACUCAUGUUAGCUUAAAAGUUCAUGUUUUUGAGAUUAAUAAGGAUUGAUAGACGAGAAAAACCUCAUUGACAUUGGUAAAAAUGACUUUUCUUAUGUUUGCCUAAAACAAAAUUUGAUCAGUUGAAUGACUCUUCCAAUUGAAAAAAUUAUAUAUAAGUCGCAAACUAAUGUUGAUGUUGGUAAAAAAAAGGAAGUAAUAAUAGGAUAAUAUAAGUUUACAUUCAUUUAACAUAUAAAACAAAGAUAAAAUAAUUAUAAUAGAAUAAUUUUUUUAUAAUUUAAAAAAAAAGUAAAAGAAGAUAAAAUCAAAUAAAUAUAAAAAAAUUGGUUACCUCCAUUGCACUUUAUCCCUAACCAUGACCCAUCACACAUAUUAUUGUCACUUCACGAAUCAACCAAAAUCUGAGAGUAACCCAACUCCCAAAGAAAAUCCAACAACGCCAUCACCUCAAAUGCGCACAUAGCUUCAGGCUUCGACAAGCAAAAAUCAUUGUUUCCAAAACUCACUUUAUCCGCUGCAAAAUCAGGGAUUGGACCCAUGAAAUGGUUAUUACUCAAAUCCAACCGCUCCAACUUCAUCCCAUUCAAACCACACGAAAUCAAUCCAACAAACUCAUUCCCAUUAAGAUCGAAACCCCUCAGCGAGACCAAUCCCCAAUGUUCAUCGGAAUACUCCCACUAAACUUAUUCCUGUGAAGCCACUAAACUUAUGUCCAGUGAGCACUCCAAGUUUUAGUCCCAGACGAAGCAAGUUUCGCUCAUGCGAAAGAGUUUUAGUGGCUCAACUUUAGUUGCAGGACAUUUUUAGCUUAAACGAAAAUAUUUUAACUUAAGCGAAAAUAUUUAGUUCAAGCGAAAAUUGUUUAGCUUAAACGAAAAUAUUAAUUGGAAUGAAGAAUUAAAUGACAUGAGAAAUACAAUUGUAGAAAUUUCCAAUCAAUUACCAAACAAUUAAAAAAAAUCCACCCACAAUUAAAGGUAAUUGGAAGGAAAUGAAAACAUAUACAAGUCAACGUCAUUCAAAAGAUGGAAAUGAGUGUCCCUUGGCGCAAAAUAUUAGUUAUUAUUCCCACUUUGUGCAAGUGUAACAUGUACACCCAUUUGCUAAACCUCUUAACAAACCAUUGCCUACAACAUCCCACAAUUCCUCAUAAUUGCAUUUCGAUGAAUAUUUUCUUUAUGCAAGACCCACUCACAAAUCAUCUGUUGUCGAAGAACUUGUAAUUAUUCUUGCAAUAAUAUUAUUGUUGCAUAUUAAUCCAAUUAUUAUAAAUCAUAUUUAAAUAAAGAUAUAUGUAAAUAAUACAAACUGUUGUAUGAUCCGACAGUUUAUUUCCAUCAUAUUUAGGGAUGUGAUCUCAUAACUCCAUAUAUUUAGUAAUCAACACACCACAGUCAAACCUACACAUUAAACAAACAUUAUAAACAUCACACAUAGUACACAAUCAAAUAAAUUGGUUAUUCACAGGGUGAUUAAUGCAUCUGGUUGGAUUGGCAAAUCUUCUCAAACAAUCUUCAAUUCCCACUCCUCAUAAUUUGCCUCUUUGUUAGUCAUUAUGAAUAAAUUUUGCAAAGUACCAACCUUACAAAUUUAUAUUGAACACAGAUUAAAUACUAGUGUAAAGUUUCUAUCCUGAAAUAACACUUUCCUUAAGAAGUACGACAAUAGUUGUCUUACCAUAACCUUGUCAAUAGAAUUUAGUGAUGACAUUUCAUGACCAAGAGAAUCUUAUAUGAACAAUUUCCUUGAUUAUCAGUUCAUCAAAUAACAUCACCAAUGUCCUCAGUAGGCACAAACAACUAAAAAAACACAACUACAAACAUCAACACAUUUCAAUUAAUGUUAUGAUAAAUGUGUCAUACAUGUACUUACAAAUUCAUAUCUUAACAAAUGCCCUAAUGAAAAAAUUUCAGGUUGAAAGAAAUUGUGGUAAUUUAUUGCUUCCAAAGGUUGUCGGCUUCUUUUUGGUAUCUUCAUUCUUUUAAUAAUCAUCGUCUAUACAAAUUGCAUUGAAAAAAAUACUUCAAAAAUAUGUACUUUAUUACAAUGAAAGAAAAAAUAAUAAUUUACGUACAACAAAGAAUGGAUUGAAACAACAACUAAUAAUUCUUGUUUUUGUGCAUUUCAUUAUACAUCAUCAUGCUCGUGGCAAACAACAUAACUUACACGAAAACUUCAUUAGACUUAUUCACCUACUUAAAUGGUUCUUAUUAUAUAAUUUUUGGUUGAUAACAAAACUUACCAUAUUAUCAAUCUUCCCAUGAGGUCUAAGCAUUGCAUGUCUUUUUUGGUCAAAAUGUUGUUGGACACCACCUCUACAAGCGCUCUAAAAAGAAAACAAAAUGAUGAUAAUGUUAAGUUCAAACACAUUUAUAAAUCAUAUAGAUGCACCACAUGGCAUAGAGCAUGCUAGUGGCUAUACAUAAUGGAAGGAAUCAACUUAUGCAACAUUUGGUGUCCAGUUGGAAAGAGCUAAAAGGUUGCAUGAAAACAUGAUGAGGUAUGGUAUAUUAAUUAACGAAAAUGUUUUUAUGACAUCGGUUUUUGACACAAAUUUGACAUCGCCCCACAUGUCAAAUUUGUAUUGGAUGUCUUCACUUAAUUAAAAAAACCCUUUUAAAAAAGCUGAGGAGGGUAAUUUUGGAAUUUGGAUUUUAUGAAAUUUAAUUUUCGCGGUUUCAUUUUUCUUUUUCUUCACUUUUGUUCUGAACUUUCGUCUCUCUCAUUCAGCUUCUCUCUCCAUUCGCUUCAUCUCUGCCUUACUCACUCUCUCCCCUCGGCUGAUCGUCUCAUUGAAACGUAAAAUCCUAGCAAAAGAGGUCUUUCGUAAUCACUGUGUAUCGGUAAGCUCUCUUUCGCGUUUCACGUUUUGGGUCUGUUUGGGUUUGUUUGGGUUUCGGGUUUUCACUCUAUAUCGCAUUGUGUGGCUUGUAGAGAAAUGUAAAAUCCUUGCAAAAGAGGUUUUUUGUAAUCACUGUGUAUCGGUAAGCUCUCUUUCGCGUUUCGCGUUUUGGGUUUGUUUGGGUUUAUGCCUCUAUUUUAGGUUUUCGCUCUAUAUCGCAUUGUGUAGCUUGUGGAGCCGUACUUUAUUAUUGUUUUAUUUAUUCUUUUUGUGUUUUGUGAACCCUAAUCCACCAUUGAUUUAUUUGUAUGAAAUAUGUGCAGUUGCAAUGGUGUCCGAAAACCCAAAGGUAAGUUAAACUUUUGGUAUUAUAUAUAGUUUGUUUCUCCCCGUGGUGGACAUCACCGUCGAAGUCCAACGCCAUCCCCAACACCAUCUCCAUCAAUAUCCCCUCCACCACCUGGAAAUGAACUGUUCUUUUCACCUACACAAUACGAAAAAUUUGCUAUACAUUUUACCAAUCGAGACAUAUUGGAAAGCAAAUACCUCAAUGAGGUUUAUUAUGAGGUAAGGAAUUUUGAUUUUUACGACCUUUUACGAGACGCUGGACUCACCGAAUUUGUUUCUUUGAGAAAACCAUUCUACCCACAAUUAGUUAGAGUUUUCUACACCAACAUGCAAAUUUCUGAUAAGAGAGUUAUUCAAAGCGAAGUCAAAGGGGUUAAAAUUAGAGUCAGUCCUAAUCUUUUUCAACAACUCACUUCCCUCCCAUGUACCGAAGUUCGUUAUGAACGAGGUCUUAUUGAUGACUGGAAAGAAGAAUACAAUUCCAUCACUGCAAGACAACUUGUUUAUAAGGAAGAUGCAGACUUAACUAGUAGAAUACUUGCUGGGGGUUUGAAGGUGCAGCCAAUAUUACUCCAUUAUGUACUAUCUAGAAUAGUAAUUCCUCGUUACACAAAUAUCGAUCAGGCAUCCCACGAGGAUAUUAUGUUCUUAUGGGCCCUUUUCAAUUCGAAGCAAAUUAACUGGGGACAUGUCAUCCACAAUAGGAUGAAAAGGGCUUUAUCGUACAAUGCAAGGCUGACUUAUCCUCAUUUGGUAACUAUAUUCUUGGAACACUUUCAUGUGCCUCUUAAUUUUGAUCCUAUUACAGAAAUAAUGGACAAACAAAAGGUAUGAUCUGACAAAAUAACCUCCUUUGGUUAUGUGCAAAAUGUAGACGGAGUGUGGGUUCCCAAAGACGACACACCCAACCAAUAGAGUCAAGGCGAAGAAGUGUAGCAUAAUGAUCAACCAAGUUCUUCUACAACACUAGAUGAUGUCAUACAACGCAUUGACCAACUCCAGACCUAUGUUGGUACAAAAUUGGACGACCUAGAAUCACGAAUUGGUAACAUUGAGAACCGACUGCAGCAGUCUCCCACUCCAUUUCAUCAUUUCACCUCAUAGUUAUAAAUUGGUGUUGACAUGUAUUUGCUUUCAUUUGGAACUUGUAUGCAUUACUAAAAUAUUGUAGUCUUUUUAUUACUUGCGUAUCGAAAUUUCAUAGUUUCAUGUUAAAGUUUGGUUGAAUGUUUCGUGUAUUAUAUUUCACAAAAUGUUAAGUAGUUAGAUAAUGGCGUAUUUAAUGGACAGUUAAACAGUUCAAAAUCACUUACAUACAACCAAUUACAUAUAAAGAAACUCAAUAAUGGUCAAUGAACACUGAUAUUCAACUAAAGGUCCCCACCUUACCACUGGUGGCUCCUUCAGUUCAACAGGUUGUCUAAAUUGUUGUUUAGACUCGCGUAAUUGUUUACAACAUGCUUGUAAAUGAUUACAAGGCAUAUUUUGACAGCAGACAUAGCAGAACUUCACUUGACUCAAGAUUCUCAACAUGGGUGGUCCCCCUACAUCUUGGGGGACCCAGAACAUUAGGUUCAAGCCUCUCUUCACUCAAGAACCUCAAUUUACAACUAAAACCACUGGACUUGGGUCAAAACUCACUGAUAUUCAACUGCGGUCCCCCACGUUACCACUGGUGGCUCCUUCAGUUCAACAGGUUGUCCAAAUUGUUGUUCAGACUCGCGUAAUGUAAACGAUUAUAAGGCACAUUUUGAAAGUAGAGGUAGCAGAACUUCAGUUGUGGUCCCCCACGUUACCACUGGUGGCUCUUUCAGUAUAACAUGUUGUCCAUAAUCUAAGUUAGACUCGCGCAAUCGUUUGCAGGCCAUACAAUUUAGCACCAUUAUUUUCACCAAUUCAGCUAAAUUCAUCAAAUCACAUUUUCUCACAAACAUUAUCGCUUGUAAAUCAAAAUAUAAAGCACUUCAAUAAUAGACACAAUAAAUUUGCAAUUAUCAAUUACAUAAAUAGAUGGAACCAAACAUGCAUGUUAUAUACAUUGAACGAAAUAGGUUUAAUUACAACGUCCUUUUCAUGUCCUAUAGAUUGAACGAAAUAGGUGUAAUUACUCCUUUCUCUUUCUAACUACUACAUUUGCGGUGUAUGGUGUCCUAAGUUCUUGGCUCUUAUUAUGUCUUCUUGAUCCAAUUCUAACAUACGUCUUCAACUGUGAUUGGUUGUUGGACAUUCCACCCGGUGCAUUUGGCAACAUUCCACUCGCUUCGUCGUUCGACAUUCCACCCGCUUCUUCGUUCGACAUUCCACUAGGGGAAACAAAUGCUCUGUUACUGUUAGUGAAUGCUUGUGGACGUCCAACACUUUGUACACUAUCAUCUGUACUUGUCCUUUUAGGUGUUCUUCUGGCCUUCUCUUCUGCCAACUCUGCCUCUACGACAUUGACCUUCCUUUUAAGCUCUUCAAUUAUAGAUUUAUGAUCCUCUACAGUACGCAUCAAACUCUCUCUGCGUGUUUUUUUAAGCAAUUUCUUUGUUGAUCGUUGCUCAUCAUUGCUUUUUGGUGGUGGCUGUUUUUCUUUCACAUCAUUCUCAUUUUUCAUUACAACACCAAAAUCAUCUACAACAUGAUCCUGAAAUUUAACAACAUAUAAUAUGUUAUAUAACUACUUUGAAUAUAUCAUAACAUUCACAACUAAAAAAAACCAAACACAUACCACACCCAUCUCGAAAACACAUUUGACGAUGUUGUCUCCAACAUUUGUAUUCAUCCAGUGCAAGAUCCUUGGAAAUUUCUCUAUUGCACCUUCGGGAGCCAUGAAAUGCUCACAAAAUCAAACCUAUAAAACAUGUCAGUUAUAAAUUACUCAUAAUCAAAUAACAAAUAUUCAAAAGUUUAGUUGUCAAAUGAGUAAAUAAGAACUACCUGCAACCUGUACAUACAACCAUCGACAUAAACAUUAGUUGUAGUUUUGCCUUUCUUCAAAGAAUCUGAAGUUUUGCUCAAACUUUCUAACAAAUAACGAAAUACUAAACUACCCCAACAUUACUUACUCAGACCACUUAAGUCAUCAACAAUUUCAAACAGUACAGGAAAUACUCGUCCACUACGAUUUGGAAAUAAAAUCUCACAUAUUCUUAGCAAUAUGUACAAGCUACAGAAAUGCUCACAAGGUAUGAUUUUUUUUUGUUUUUUCAACAAGAAUUUGUAAAUGAAAUUCAAAUCUUUAAUUUCGUUACCUAAGUAUCUCACACAUUUACACUACCCAUUAUAUCCUUUAAGUUUAUACUUUUGUCAUCUGAACUCAACCUUAAUCCUGAACAAAAAUCCUUUUCAUUCAUAUUGAAAACUUUGUCUGCAAUAACAAAAGCAUUGCUCGAAUCCACCCAUUUCAUCGUUAACUCUUGCAAAAUUUUAGUAUUCAAUAUCACUUUACCAUUCAAGUCUAAAAACCAAGCAAAUGGAGUCUUCGAAAUGAGUGACCUUUGCUCCUCUGUCAACUGUUCGUUUAGAGUGCAAACAUACAUAGUUGAAAAUGAAUGAUGAACGGUCAAUUGCCCAAAGAAAAUAACUCAAAUGAAAACAGCAAAUGAAAUAACCAAAAAACCAAAAGGGGUCGAAGAAACGACAAGAAACCCAAUACCCAAAUAUAAAACCCAAUACACAAACGUAAAACCCAAUAUCCAAACGUAAAACCCAAUACCUAAACCUACAACAAAAUGGUCUGAGAAAGCAUUUACCUUGUUCCAACGAAGUUGCAGUCCGAAACUUCCCAUUUCAGCAAAACUGCGACAACGAGAGAACGAAUGUCAGAGAGAACAUAAGGGAGAGGGCGAAAACACCGGGAGAACGAAUGUUAGAGAUUACGUAAGGGAGAGGACGAAAACGCCAGGAGAACGAAAUCUGAGAGACAAAACGUAACGAACGGUUGACAGAGGAGUAACGGUCACCCAUUUCGAAGACUCCAUUUGCUUGGUUUUUAGACUUGAGUGGUAAAGUGAUAUUGAAUACUAAAAUUUUGCAGGAGUUAACGAUGAAAUAGGUGGAUUCGAGCAAUGCUUUUGUUAUUGCAAACAAAGUUUUCAAUAUGAAUGAAAAAGAUUUUUGUUCAGGAUUAAGGUUGAGUUCAGAUGACAAAAGUAUAAACUUAAAGGAUACAAUGGGUAGUAGUAAAUGUGUGAGAUACUUAGGUAAGAAAAUUAAAGAUUUGAAUAUCAUUUACAAAUUCUUGUUGAAAAAACAUAAAAAUACCAUACCUUGUGAGCAUUUCUGUAGCUUGUACAUAUUGGUGGGGAUAUGUCAGAUUUUAUUUCCAAAUCGUAGUGGACGAGUGUUUGCUGUACUGUUUGAAAUUGUUGAUGACCUAAGUGGUCUGAGUAAGUACUGUUGGGGUAGUUUAAUGUUUCGUUAUUUGUUAGAAAGUUUGAGCAAAGCUUCAGAUUCUUUGAAGAAAGGCACAGCUACAACCAAUGUUUAUGUCGAUGGUCGUGUGUACAUGUUGCAGGUAGUUCUUAUUUACUCAUUUGACAACUAAACUUUUGAAUAUUUGUUAUUUCAUUAUGAGUAAUUUAUAAUAAUGACGUGUUUUAUAGAUUUGGUUUUGUGAGCAUUUCAUGGCUCCCAGAGGUGCAAUAAAGAAAUUUCCUAGGAUCUUGCAUUAGAUGAAUACAAAUGUUGGAGACAACAUCGUCAAACGUGUUUUCGAGAUGGGUGUAGUAUGUGUUUGGUUUUUUUAGUUGUGAAUGUUAUGAUAUAUUCAAAGUAGUUAUAUAAGAUAUUAUAUAUUGUUAAAUUUCAUGAUCAUGUUGUAGAUGAUUUUUGUGCUAUAAUGAAGGAUGGGAAUGAUGUGAAAGAAAAACAACCACCACCAAAAAGCAAUGAUUAGCAACGAUUAACAAAGAAAUUGCUUAAAAAAACACGCAAUGAGAGUUUGAUGUGUACUGUAGAGGAUCAAAAAUCUAUAAUUGAAGAGCUUAAAAGGAAGGUCAAUGUCGUAGAGGUAGAGUUGGCGGAAGAGAAGGCUAGAAGAACACCUAAAAGGACAAGUACAGAUGACGGUGUACAAAGUGUUGAACGUCCACAAGCAUUCACUAACACUAACAGUGCAUUUGUUUCCCCUGGUGGAAUGUGGAACAAAGAAGCGGGUGGAAUGUCAAACGACGAAGCGGGUGUAAUGUCCAACACUAAAAAGGUGGAAUGUCGUCAAAUGCACCGGGUGGAAUGUCCAACAACCAAUCAUAAUUGAAGACCUGUGUUAGGAUUGGAUCAAGAAGGCGUAAUAAGAGCCAAACACUUAGGAUACCAUACACCGCAAAUGUAGUACUUAGAAAGAGAAGGAGUAAUUAAACUUAUUUCGUUCAAUCUAUAGGACAUGAACAGGACACUGUAAUUAAACCAAUUUUGUUCAAUGUAUAAAACAUACAUGUUUAGUUCCAUCUAUUUAUGUAAUUGAUAAUUGUAAAUUUAUUGUGUCUGUUAUUGAAGUGCUUUAUAUUUUGAUUUGCAAGAGAUAAUGUUUGUGAGAAAAAAAUGAAGUAAUUAAUGCAUGUGAUUUGAUGAAUUUAGCUGAAUUGGUGAAGAUAAUGGUGCUAAAUUGUGCAUUGUAAUAAUUUACUAUGGCCUUGUAAACGAUUACGCGAGUCUAACUUAGAUUAUGGACAACCUGUUUUACUGAAGGAGCCAUCAGUUAAAACAUAGGGGACCACAACUGAACCUCUACUGUCAAAAUGUGCCUUGUAAUCGUUUACAAGCAGGCUGUAAACGAUUACGCGAGUCUGAACAACAAUUUGGACAACCUCUUGAACUGAAGGAGUCACCAGUGGUAGCGUGGGGGACCACAGUUGAAUAUCAGUGGGUUUUGACCCAAGUCCAGUAGUUUUAGUUGUAAAUUGAGGUUCUUGAGUGAGGCUGGCUUUAACCUAAUGUUCUGGGUCUCCCAUGAUGUAGGGGGACCACCCAUGUUGAGAAUCUUGAGUCAAGUGAAGGUCUGCUAUGAUUGCUGUCAAAAUAUGCCUUGUAAUCCUUUACAAGUGUGUUGUAAACGAUUAUGCGAGUCUGAACAACAUUUUGGACAACCUGUUGAACUGAAGGAGCCCUCAGUGGUAACGUGGGGACCACAGUUGAAUACCAGUGAGUUUUGACCCAAGUCUAGUGGUUUUAGUUGUAAAAUGAGGAGGUUCUUGAGUGAGGAGAGGCUUGAACCUAAUGUUCUGGGCCCCCAAGAUGUAGGGGGACCACCCAUGUUGAGAAUCUUGAGUCAAGUGAAGGUCUGCUAUGACUGCUGUCAAAAUGUGCCUUGUAAUCGUUUACAAGUGUGUUGUAAACAAUUACGCGAGUCUGAACAACAAUUUGGACAACCUAUUGAACUGGAGGAGCCCCAGUGUUAACGUGAGGGAUCACAGUUGAAUAUCAGUGUUCAUUGACCAAAGUCCAGUGGUUUUAGUUUUAAAUUGAGGUUCUUGAGCGAGGAUAGGCUUGAACAUAAUGUUUUGGGCCCCCAUGAUGUAGGGGGAGACCACCCAUGUUGAGAAUCUUGAGUCAAGUGAACUUCUGCUAUCUCUGCUGUCAAAAUGUGCCUUGUAAUCGUUUACAAGCAGGCUGUAAACGAUUACGUGAGUCUGAACAAUAAUUUGGACAACCUGUUGAACUGAAGGAGCCACCAGUGAUAACGUAGGGGGAACACUUUCAUUGACCGUUAUGGAGUUUCUUUAUAUGUAACUGGUUGUAUAUAAGUGAUUUUGAACUAUUUAACUGUCCAUUAAAUACGCAAUUAUCUGACUACUUGACAUUUUGUGAAAUAUAAUACGCGAAACAUUCAACCAAAGUUUAACAUGAAACUAUGAAAUUCCGAUACGCAAUUGAGGUAAUAAAAAGACUACAAUAUUCCAGUAAUGCAUACAAGUUCCAAAUGAAAGCAAAUACAUGUCAACACCAAUUUAUAACUACGAGGUGAAAUGAUAAAAUGGGGUGAGAGACUGCUGCAGUCGGUUCUCAAUGUUACCAACUCGUGAUUCUAGGCCGUCCAAUUUUGUGGUUUGGAGUUGGUCAAUGGGUUGUAUGACAUCAUCUAGUGUUGUAGAAGAACUUGGUUGAUCAUUAUGCUGCACUUCUCCGCCUUGACUCUAUUGGUUGGGUGUGUCGUCUUUGGGAACCCACACUCCGUCUACAUUUUGCACAUAACCAAAGGAGGCUAUUUCGUCAGAUCCCACCUUUUGUUUGUCCAUUAUUUCUGUAAUAGGACCAAAAUUAAGAUGCACAUGAAAGUGUUCCAAGAAUAUAGUUACCAAAUGAGGAUAAGGCAGCCUUGCAUUGUCCGAUAAAGCCCUUUUCAUUCUAUUACAGAUGACAUGUUCUUAGUUAAUUUGCUUCGAAUUGAAAAGGGCCUAUAAGAGCAUAAUAUCCUCGUGGGAUGCCUGAUCGAUAUUUGUGUAAUGAGGAAUUAAUAUUCUAGUUAGUACAUAAUGGAGUAAUCUUGGCUGCACCUUCAAACCCACAGCAAGUAUUCUACUAGGUAAGUCCGCAUCUUCCUUACAAACAAGUUGCCUUGCAGUGAUGAAAUUGUACUCUUCUUUCCAGUCAUCAACAAGACCCCAUUCAUAACGAACUCCGGUACAUGGGAGAGAAGUGAGUUGUUGAAAAAGAUUAGGGUUGACUCUGAUUUUAACUCCUUUGACUUCGCUUCGAAUAACUCCCGUAUCAAAAAUUUCAAUGUUGGUGUAGAAAACUCUAACUAAUUGUGGGUAAAAUGAUUUUCUCAAAGAAACAAAUUUGGUGAGUCCAGCGUCUCGUAAAAGGUCGUAGAACUCAAAAUUCCUUACUUCAAAAUAAUCCUCGUCGAGGUAUUUGCUUUCCAAUAUUCUUGAUUGGUAAAAUGCAUAGCAAAUUUUUUGUAUUGUGUAAGCGAAGAGAACAAUUUAUUUCUUGGUGGUGGAGGGGAUAUUGAUGGAGAUGGUGUUGGGGAUGGCGUUGGACUUCGACGACAACGUCCACCACGGGGAGAAACAAACUAUAUAUAAUACCAAAAGUUUAACUUACCUUUGGGUUUCCGAACGCCAUUGCAACUACACAUAUUUCAUACAAAUAAAUCAAUGGUGGAUUAGGGUUCACAAAACACAAAAAGAAUAAAUAAAACAACAAUAAAGUACGCCUCCAUAAGCCAAACAAUGCGAUAUAGAGCGAAAACCCGAAACAGAGGCACAAACCCAAAACACGCGAAACGCGAAAGAGAGCUUACCGAUACACAGUGAUUACGAAAGACCUUUUUUGCUAGGAUUUUAUGUUUCGAUGAGACAAUCAGUCGAUGUGGAGAGUGGGUAUUGUAGAGAUGAAGCGAAUGGAGAAAGGAGACGAAAGUGAAGAAGAAGAAAAAUGAAACUGUCAAAAUCAAAUAUCAUAAAAUAAGAAUUUCAAAAUUACCCUCCUCAGCUUUUUUGAAAGGGUUUUUUAAUUAAGUGAAGAAAUCCAAUACAAAUUUGACACGUGUCAAAAAUCAGUGUCAAAAAAACAUUUUCGAUUAAUUAAAGCACACAACUUGACCAAAACAUGUUAGGUAUAUCCUAUUAAUUAUAGUACAACAACACCAAAAUAGGAUUUAAUUAAAGUGAGAUGGGUUGUACUAUUAGAGAAACCUACACCUGUAAUGCACCAAAUCCAGCUAUACAUUGGUUGCACUAAAAGAAGCUGAGACCACAAAAAAUUGUCGUCAUUUGCCUUAGGAUUCCUCUACCCACAACAACUAAGUGAUUCUUUAAUUUCUCCAUUUAAAAACAUCACUACAAAACUGUUGCAUAACCAGCUGUGUAUAACUUUGUGGUAACUUUUCUGAUUAUAUUAUCAUAUGUCCGAUUCAAACUACUAACUAUUUAACUAUGUACGACAUCACACAUAGAUUUGUUUCAUUAAUAUUAUCUAAUUUACUAAAAGGGACACUAUUAUUGACAAUACAAUUUGUAGGAAAAUAAAAUACUUCAAAUGCUAACAAAAUGUACAACCUACCCAUAAUCUCAACAUUUUUUUUUUCUUUGAAAUUUUUUGAAUCAACUUUUCCAUUAUAGUAAUAAAUGUUAUGUCUUGUAAGUCGUCCCUAAAUAAGUUAUUCACAAUCCCACCAAUAUCAUUUUCCAAAUCAAUACUUUGACCAACAUUGCGUAAACCUGAAAAAAAAAGCAAACAUCCUCAACUAUAAAAGAGACUAAAUUCUGCUUAAUCUUAAAAGCCUUAUGAACAAUAUCUUACGAAUUAACUCUACAAGAACGAGGCUAGAAAUAACCACAUGGUCAACCAUAUUGGCUAACCAUUUGAAAGGUGUCACCUUCAACCAUUCCUUUUGAAAUGAUGAUAGACAACCAUUUAAUUGAAGUAUAUGUUAGGUUUAGACUCGGUGCCUAACUAUAAAUGUACUCUACAACUGUAAAUCAAAGUAUAGGUUUGUAAAUUGAAUACAACAAUCAACCUAUUCAAUAUUAAAUUCAAACACUAACUCCAUACUUAGCAUUUUACUUUGUUCUUUGUCCAUUUUUGUAUAUCCUACACAUAUCAAAACAAAUAUAAUUACCUCAGUUCGUUCAAAAGUUGAUUUAUUUUUUUCCUUUUUUCUUUAAUUACAACUUAAUGAAGAAAUCAAGGAAAAAGACUUCUUUCAGCAAUAUGAAACAAAUUUAUGUGUUCAAUAACCCACAAUUGUAAAUGAAAUCAUAAUAGUUAAAAACCUUUCAAAAAUAACAAUAUUUAAUUUCUAAGAAAUUAAAAAUUAAAUUUUAAAACAUAACUACAAAACUGUUGCAUAACCUGCUAUGUGUAUAACUUUGUGAUAACUUUUCCGAUUAUAUUUAUUAGAUGUCCGAUUCAAACUACUAAAUAUUUAACUAUGUACGACAUCACACUAGUUGUAUAGAUUUGGUUCAUUAAUAUUAUCUAAUUUACUAAAAGGGACACUAUUAUUGACAAUACAAUUCCUAGGAAAAUAAAAUACUCCAAAUGCGAACAAAAUGUACAACCUAUCCAUAAUCUCAACAUUUUUUUUUUGCUUUGAAAUUUUUUGAGUCAACUUUUCCAUUAUAUUAAUAACUGUUAUGUCUUGUAAGUCGUCCCUAAAUAAGUUAUUCACAAUCCCACCAAUAUCAUUUUCCAAAUCGAUACUUUGACCAACAUUGCGUAAUUUGGUUAAAUGUAUUCUAAUUGUAAUUAUAUAAAGUAAUAAGGUCGUUGAAUUUGGACCUUACCAAGUAUCACAAUUAUCCGAAGUGCCUCCUUCUGAGUUUGUCUUUGUUGUCAGUUAUACAUAACAAUUCAGAUAACAACCUUCUUUAAUGUAUAUAACUUCCAUCUUCUAUGUAUAUUAUAUGUACGUUAGUCUGACAUUGAUGUGUUAUUGUUGUCUAAAUCAAUAAAUGAAAUUUAAGAUAAUCCAUUGCUUGUUGAACACUAUGAAAAAAACCCUUUCAUGUACUGUUACUGAAAAUGUUUGCUUUACAUUAAUUACACAAGCUAUUGUUUGAAUAUGAAUGAUUGGGCAAAAAAGCCAUAUGGUAAUCGAUUACGAAUAAGCUGUAGUCAAUUACUCUGGGUGGUUCGUCCAUAUAAAAACAGGUUUAACAUGCCCAUUAUUGAAACCCUAACUUUUUUCGCCAAAAGUCUAUACGUGAUGGUUCUUUUUCUCCCCCACUUCCCUCAGUUGUGGUCUCCCUCUUAACUAUCCAAUCUUGAAGUUCUUGAAGUACCCUUCCAACGUUAUUGUACCUCACAAAACCCUAAGAAAUCUGCAAUGACUUAUUGCGCAACCAAGAAACAAUGACAUUUUCCCGUCAGAUGACCAAUAUGAGAAGUUUGCUAACCAUUAUUUCAAUCGUGCAAUCAUGGAAAGCAAAUAUCUCGAGGACUGGAGAAUGUCUGAAAUAACAUAAAUCUAUAAAUUGGCAAAACAUGAAGUUGUUCUAAGAUUUUGUGAUCUAACAUUUUCGCAUUCUGUUUCAGAUUGAUAUCUCUGGUUUAUAGAGCUCCAAGAAUCCUCCAAAAAGACCAUGGUGAUUGUUCUUGAAAGAGAUUCAAAGGGAGAAUUGUUGUGCGCUUAUUGCUUGAUCAUUGUCUGCACAUUGAAGGUGUUUCUGGUUGAUCAAGAAUCUGUUUGGCAUUCGUGGUGUUGUUGUGUACCUGUUGUGAUACAGGGGAUAGACUUGUGGAGUCUGGUUCACUUUGAGGACUGUUCAAAGUGGUGUUGCAGAUUGCAGAAGAGGGGAUAUUUUGCUGCAAGUCUUGCUUUAUUGUUGUAGCUAUAUUUUGGUUAGAGGGUUAGAGGGUUAGAAAGGAGAUUUAUAUUUUUGACGUGGAGGUCUUCUAUAAAUUCCUUGUUGUAAAAACCUUGACUAUUGUAGUGCAUUUUCUUCCUGGGUUGGAAGAACACUGGAUGUAGGCAUUGUUGGCCAAACCAGUAUAAAAAUCAGUCGACACUGGAUGUAGGCAUUGUUGGCCGAACCAGUAUAUCCUGAGUAGUCAACUACAAUAUUUCGCUGCACACUUAUUUCAUUACUUGCGUUUCAAGAAAGACCUGUAAAGUUUUCAACUUGUUUCAAAGAUUUUAAAAAGACUCUGAUUUUGAAAACUCAUCAAUUCACCCCGCUCUUGGUGUAAAACGAAACCUACCUGUUUUUCAACAUUGUGUUCCUUUGCCUAUGUAUUUCACACAUGUACUCCCUCUCAUUUCCUCCUUUAAGUUAAUAUUUUAAUCAUUUGAACUCAAUCUCAAUCCUAAACAAAAAUUCUUUUCAUUCAAUUUCACAACUUUAUAUCCAAAAUUAAACCCACCACUGGAAUUGAUCCAUUUAACCAAUAGCUCACUCAAAAUAUUCCUAUCCAGUUUAACCUUAGCACUCAAAUCUAAAACCACCCCAUUAACGUCUUUGAAAUAAAUGACAUGUGCUCCUUUGUCAAUCUUUCAUUCAAAAUACAAAUAUACUUUGUUAAAAAAAUGACGAACACACAACUGUCAAUCAACGAAAGAAAAAUAAGAAAAGGGUCCAAAAACGAAAACAAAAAUUUGAACACAACAACGAAAACUAAAAUACAAAUCGAAAACGCAAUCAACAAAAUGGAUAAGCCCAUUUAUCUUGGUUGAAGAACCAUAGUCACCGAACAUUGCCAUUAUGCACACGCUAUCAACAAAAAAAUGGACCUCGAGCAAAGCUUCUUGGACGAAAAUGGAAGGAGAAAGAAAAUUAAAGAGAAUGGGAGAACAAAAUCUGAAGAGAGAGAACGAGGAGAAGAGAUGAAACAGGGCAAGGGAUAUUUUUGGAAGCAAAAAUUUCUAAAGCGAAAACCCUUUUCCACGUCACAAUUUAACAUUAAAAUUUAAUUAUAAACACAUAAAUCAUGUGCCGCCAUGUGGAGUUGUCAAAAAGUUGGCAAUGGAGUGUUGUGAAGGGAUCCUAAUCUUUAUCCCUACAAAACAUGGUGAAUUCCGUACUGAAGCGUCCUGCCAAUGGCAAUGUGUGGUUCCACCUUUCGGUCCAUCUUUUGAAGUAUUCUGUUGUGCAUCACUAAAUCUUUUGAAUAUUUUCUUGGUGUGUUUAUUUUGUUCUUUCUUAUUUCUUUUCACCAUGGCUGAAAUGACUUCUGCCAAACCUUCAACACUCCCUCAUCCAUUCUUGGUUUCUCCAAUCUUUAACAAGAACCAUUACCGUUCAUGGUGCAGAUCCAUGUCGAUAGCAUUGAGUGCCAAAAAUAAGAUUCAAUUGGUAAGUGGGACUACCCUAAACUAGAAAAGAAAUAUGCUUUAUAUCAAUCUUGGAAGCAUUGCAAUGAUAUGAUCGUCUUUUGGAUUGUUCAUCCUUCGAUUUGACAAAGUAUAAUGUGGAUGGAUAAUGCAUAAUCUGAAAUUAUUUGAAUUUGAGAUAUUUUCAAGAUCAUUUAAUUUGCAUCUCUGACUUACAAUAAGAAGCAUCUCCCGUUAAGCAAGGUGAAUUCACUCAUUAUAUGUGAGUUCUUCACUAAAUUGUGUUCUAUAGACAACUUCACACCUGAUCAUGUUUGUUUGUGUAAUAAGAAAUAAAAUUUAAAACGCAUUUACAAAUUCAUAAAUAUUAAAAUAUAAAUAAGAGUUGAGUCGAAUAUUCAUCAAGUUUCAAUCUAUUAUCCUCACCCAAUGCAAUUAUCCAUUUUAUUACUCAAUUUUAUUUAUUCAAAAUUACACAUUUAUCUAAUUCAAUCAAAUCGUAUGCUCGGCUUUAUUGAGUUUACAUUGGAUACAGUUUUCUUUUCGGCAGUAGGAGUCGAGAGAGAGCCUUUAUUUCAAGGUUGAUUAACUUUUAUGAUUUUUGUAUAAUAAUGAUCAUUAAAAAUUACAACUACGCUUAAAAAACAAACAAAAUAGAGUAAAUUAAAUUGUAUUUUGAAAUUUUCUAAGAUGAUGUUAACAUUUUUUGUUUCUCCGACAUGUAUAAUGACUUUUCUUGUCAUUAUAUAGAUAAUGUUUUGUUUCAGUUGAAAGAGUCCGAGAGUCAAUCAUUCUCCUUGAGUCAUCCGAUUUGAUUGUAAUGGACGGUUGAAAUUGGAAUCUGGAAACCACAUUUUCAGGUUAUAAAUAGGGGAUGGGAUCAUUGUCAUUAUCACACUUUUGUCUCCUUUCUUCCUCAACCAAUCCCAGAAGCCUUUUAUUUUCAGGUACUAUGUUUUCUUUCACAUGGUCGAUCGAUGAGCCUGCGGUGAUGGUCAAGGGUAUGCUAACGCUGUGGCAGAGUCGUCUUUGUCAGUGGGAUCCUCCGUCUUGGGCUCCACUGGUGAGGGUAAUCAGUCAGUGGUUAGUGAGGAAGUUGUGGAGGAGGGAGAGGCAGAAAUAAAGGUCGACGCUACUGGAGAAUGGGCUAAUGUUGCUCCCCAUGAGAUAGGCCUAUAUGCACCUUUUUACAUUACUAGUGCCUCAUUGGAGUAUCUGGUAAGCCAAGUGGGUAUAUUGGCCAGCACGAGAGAUGCCGAGAGCGUAGAGAUUUUGGUUAAAUUGGUAGGUUAUGUGGUACUUGGUUUUGUUGGUUAUGUUCAUCUUUAACCCUACAAACGUGGUGAAUCCAACAAUAUAGUGAUAAUCAAUUAAUUAAUGAGAAAUCUUUAGUUCAUACUAAUAAGGGUUUUUUAGUUAAUAUUGAUCAAAGUUAUUUUCAAGUAAAAUGUAAUUAUUAUAUAUGAUAGAUAUUGAUCAUUCUUUUCCUUUAAAAAAUGUUUCCCGAUUGUAUAUAUCUUAAAAGUGACUUCUAUUGUGUAUAGGGGUGGCAAAAAAAUUCGCGCCUGCGGAUAUCCGCAUAUAAAAUCUGCGAUAGAUAGUUGAUACCCCGGAUAUUUACUAUCUGAAACCCGCGGAUAACGGGUAUUUUAAUAUCCUCUUAUAAACGGGUCGGAUGCGGGUAUUAUACUAUCUAUACCCGCGGAUAUCCGCUAUUUGCAAAAAAUAAAAGUAGAAAUUUAAUUUUUAUUUAAUUAAGUUAAAUCUAACUAAAAUUAGCAUUAAUUUAUAUUUUAGAAGGUUAAAUUUAAUUAUAAUUGUACUAUAUGAAGUAUACUGAUCGGAAUUAAUUGUCAUUUAUGGACAAUUAACAAGUAUUAAUAAGUCAAAUUGCCUUAUAUAGUAUUGAUUAUUGAUUAUUGGGUUUAAUUGCCUAAAAAUAUACUGCACAAUCAAUGGGUUUGUGUGCCACAAGGCUCUACAAAUAUACAAUUGAUGUUUAGGUACAAUCUUUCUUUUCUAUCCUAAUAAAAUUUAGACCUUUUUAUAUCUUGAGCAUCGGCUACACACAACCCAUCGGAUUGGAUUACAUUCUCAGGAAAAAUUGAAGUUCAAAAGAGAAUAAAGCAAAGAAGGACAACUGACCUUCGGACCAAUUCAACCGAAACAAAAAUUAAAUUUUAAUUAUAUUUUAUAUAUUUUUUUUCUAAUUGUAUUUAAAUUUUAUUUUAAUACUUUAUAAAAAUAUGUUUUUUUAAAUAUUUGCGGGUAUCCACGGAUAUCCGCAGUUUUUAAAAUAUCCACAAAUAUUUUUUAAGCGGGUAUCCGUGCGAGUAGCAGGUGAAUUUUUUUUUAUCGGAUCGGGUUGCAGGUAGGCACUAUCCGUGCCCAACCCGACCCGUUGUCAUCCCUAAUUGUGUAUUUUGAAAGUAACUUUCAAAUUGUUUAACUCAAAAGCUAUUAUUUUCAAAUAAAAAUUAUUUUUGAAUUACAUAUUUUGAAAGGUUUAAUAUCUAUUUUGGUCUCUUGGUUAUGUCAAAGUAUUUAAAGCGAUCUUAUCUUUUUUCAGAUGUUCACAGUUGUCUCAUAUUUUUGUAAAAACGCUAACUGUGUAAUUGUUCCUGGGAAAAAAUUGAAUGUAGUUAUUGAUUGUGUCAUACGAUUGGGAUGUAAAUUUUAAAAAUAAAAAUUAAUGACGUGGAAGAGUUAAAGUUAAGGUUAAAAAAAAUUACAAUUAGGUUAGAAGUAAUUCACCAUCAAAACUUUAUUUCACAAACAGAACUCAAGGAAUCCUAAAACAAAAUAUGACAGAUUCCAAAAACCCUAAAAGUGAGAGAUCAUAAUACAAUUACAGAUAAUUCCAAAACAUGAAAUCAGAAAACAAAACUCUAAUUCAAAAACCUUAACCCCAAAUUGUAUUAACAAUUUGCAAAGGAGAAGCUAAAGAUAAAAUAUUCCCGUAUCAAAACCCUCAACCUCAAACAAAAACCCUAAUAUCUCUAAAUCAUAAAAUCACGAAGAAGAUCAACCAUUGUGCCAUUAACCAUUACGUAAACAAGUUUGGGGCAAACUACACAUAUGAGAGAGAGAUUGAAGCAAUGAGAGUUGUGGAAUGUAAAUGCUUCUAAGAAUUCAUUCUUGGAACUUGAAAUUGUACAUGCAUUCUGUCUGAGUUAAAAAAUAGCAUUCAAGUUGUUUGUGAGCAUUGCAUGUAUCUUCCAUUUCGUAUUACUUUGGUUUCCAUCUAUUCAGUAUAUUAAAACAAAUAUUAUGCUUAGAACUCAUGUCAACUGUUGUUGAACCAAAUUUUCUAACAUCUCACAUUAUUUUUUUUUUUUAUAGAUGAAAAUUUGUAUGCUUUAUUUAUUUUUCAUUAUAGUUCAAUUUAACCCUAUAUUGUAUCGUCAUCACUAAAAAAUAGUUUUUAUAGUUAAAACGUAAAAUAAAUAUAUCAACAUAUUUACAAUUUAAAAUUGGACAAAAUUACAUUAAAAAAAUAUAUAAAGACUAAAAUAACUAGAACGUAAUCAUAUAGUUUUAAAAAAUAAUUUUCGUAUAAUUACUUGCAAAAAUAUUAAUAGAAAAAAUUAUACUUACAAAUUUAAUUUUGCAAGAAAAAUUAGUUGAGAAUUAAUUGGCUAGAAAUUACUUGCGAACUGAAAAUAAGUAAUAAAAUUACUUUUGAAAUUUAAAUUUGUUGGAAAAAAAUACCUGUUGAUUUUUAAAUUAACUUUUUCGCAAGAAAAAUUGUUAUGAUCUUUUUGUCAUGAAAAUUUGUGACUGAUUUCUUUAUUGAAAAUUUUGCAAGAAAUUUCCGGCGAAAUUUUUAAAUUAUAUGGUAACUAAUUACACACGAAAGAAUUACCUACCAAUAAAAAAUUAUAGGUAAAAUUGCAAGAAACACUGUUUGGAAACUUUUGAAAGAAAUUUGCAGAACAUUUUCAUCAAAUAUAAAAAAUUUUAGUAGUGUUUACUCUUAAAAGUCCUACAGUGUAUUUCAAUCUUCUAAUAUAUGGACGAUGGAGGAUGAAAUCAAAGAUAUAAAUAGAAGAUAGGAAAAAAGAUUUAGAAAAGGCUACAUAAAAACUACACUUCUUAUAAAAUGAAAUUCGGUUAAUUGUAAAUUGACUUUUGGUAAUAAAUAAUCGAGUAUGAUCACUGUUAGUUUUAGUUAUUUUUUACUUCUUUACAUAUUCUACAUUAUAUUAAUUAACAUUUUUAACUAAAUUUUUCAUUCAAUACGAGAAGAACUUAGGAAGAACAUUUACAAUGAUAAGGUCAAAAAUUAAAACAUAUCUCUUUACAUCUUAUAAUGUUUCAUUAAAGAGGAAACUUAAAAGAAAAUAAAGAUUAUAAACAUAAUAGAACUAUAAUUUAGGAAAUUAAAUAAAUAGUAAUUUUAUUUUAAUUUUACAUAAUUUUAUAAAUUUGUUGGGUGAGUCACUUUGUAUUCGUUGGAUGAGCAAACCUUGCUAGACAAAAGUUUGCCUUUGUAAUUUUUGUUUUCUAUUGUUUUUAUUUGUUUUGGGCUUUAUUUUAAUGUUUGUGUUUUCUUAAAUUUAUGUACUUAUAUAUAGAGAUAAUAAAACUGAUGUAAAUACUUGAGUCAUAUUAUAUGUAUUUUUUGAGAGAAGAUUCUCUUGGUUCUUGGAUUAGAACUUUGAUCCUUAUUAAAAUUUAACAUAUUUGUGGCAAAUCUUCACUUAACUUAUCAAUAUGUUAGAUUAUGACGUCCUACAUCUCUAUCUUAUUUUGCAUACUCUCAUUUAUUUUUAUUGUGCCUCUUGAGAAUUUAAAUUUAGAAGCAAUCAUACUCUUUUCUGCAAAGGAUCAUAGCAUCUAAUACUUAAAGUAAUGUUUUGGAUGUCCUCUUUUAUCUUAUUUUUCUGUCAUAUGAAAAAAAAAACAUAAAAAAAACAUAAAAUUCUUGAAUGUUUGGUUCAUUGUUCUUGGAAUUUUAUAAGGAGUAAAACCUUUAAUAUUUUAUCCAAUUUCGUUGAGUUUUCAAUAUUUUGUGUUCAUCAUUUAAAUUUUGCAUUUCUACAAUUGAUUCAUAGAAAUUAUUUGUUGUGUUUUUCUAUUAAUUGUUAUCCUAAUUAACUACCUAUCUUGCAUGAGUUUUGGUGUUUGAGAGAAAAUUUGUUUAUUUUUUUUUGUUUGUGUGUUGAAUUAUAAAAUUGAAAAACAUAAGAGAAAAGUAGAGAAAAAAAGUUGUGGAGUUCAACACAAUUAUUAUGUUGCACUAUUGCUUAUGAUUGAUAAUUUAUUAAAUUAUAUUAAAUCUUUUUUAUUCUCUAUGUUGUCUCAUUUAAUUCUUUUUGGUAGUCCUAUUAGUUUUUAUUUUUAUUAUUUUAUGUCUUUUACAAUUUCAUGAAGUUUUAUCUAAAGUUUUUUUUUUUGACCUCUUGAGUCAAUAUUUAGAUCUCACAAUAUUUCUCACAUUAUUAAGUGGUAGAAAGAAACAAAGUACAUCUAAGAAAAAGUCAAUAAGUGAGAUAUACGAGUGAAAUUUGAAUGAAACACUUAGAUAAACAGUGAAGAUCUAGAUAUAUUAUAUUAUUUUGUUAUCCUAACCUUUUACACGACUUAUCAAUAUUGAACAAUGCAACAUAUUCAAGUAGAGACAUCCUUUUGGAAGUUAUGUGUUCUUGAGGUCAUGGUAGAGAAUGUUAAUGCCUUGGAGUUUAGAAUUGAAAAAUUGAAUGACAAGAUUUCUAGUAUUAAAAGGAAGCAUAAGCAUGAUAAAAAUAUUUUCGAAAGGGUAUGAGCAUGAUACUCAUUAGUGUCCUAAUUGGAAUGCAAGUUCCAUAACUAAUUAAUACAUCAAGAACUACAUUCUAUAUUUGAAAAAGGAAGAAAAAAAGGACUUUGCAAAAAUUAGAUGCAUUAAAAAGAAGAGAAAAGAGAAAGUUUAAAAUAGCACAAGAGAAAGAAACACUUAUAGAAAUGGAAGAAAGAGAAAAUAGAGGAAAAGAAGAGAAAGAAAAGAGAGAGGGUGAAGAAAGAGAAGAGAGAAAGAGAGGAAAAAGAAAAAGAAAGAGAGGAAGAGAAAGAAGAAAAAAAUAGAAAAGAGAGAAAAAGAUAGAAAAGAGAGAAAAAAACAGAAAAGAGAGAAAAAGAAGAGAACAUCCACUUUUGUCAUUCAAAGAAAUUCCUGACUGCCUUUUUUUUCUUUUGUUGAAUGGAGAAGAUUUGUUUAUUAAGAAAUCAUGGAAUCAUAUAUAGCUUGUUUGUCAAUUCAUUUAGAUAUUUAAAGUUAUUCUUUUAGUACGAAAACAAGCUUAGAACUAUAUGUACAUGAUGUUGUUUGACCAUUUCUAAACAACUUACGGAUAAUCAAAGUCAUACUUAAAUUUUGACGGUUUACUCAAGAAAUAUUUUUUUAAUUUUCUUUGAGCAUUGCAUCUUUAAUUUAAAAUUGUUUGAUGAUUUUUACAUGUGGAUAUUUAACCUUAGAGGCAAACCUCCAAACCUUUUAUAAUAAGAUAUUGACCUCUUAUAGAAUCCAAAUAUCAUUUUAGUAGUAUUUCUAUAUUUGAUUAUUUUAGAUUUGUGUCUUUAAUUUAUGUUUAUGCAUAAGAUCUUCUGGAAUUAAGGUCGAAUUCUCUUCAAACAUGGAGAAUGAUAAGGAAUCUUCAAGUGAUACAAAAUUGAGGACAAAUUCUUUUCAAGAAGAAAGGUAUGAUAGAAGACUAUCUCCUGAACAUAUAUGUGAGAAAAACUUAAGGAAAAACAUAUGUAAUUCAAAUGAUAUAAGACAAGAUCAAAGAUCAAAACAUAUCUUUUUAAAACUUAUAAUGUUCCAUGAAGAAUAAAACUUAAAAGAGCAUGAAAAUGUAAUUUAGGAAAUUAAAUGCAUUGUAAUUUUAUUUUAAUUUUAUUAAAGAUUAAAUUCGUUGAGUGAGCUAGUUUGAGUUUAGUAGAGUGAGGGGGUUGUUAGGAGAAAUUAUGUAUAUGUUUAUAACUUUUGUUUUCUGUUAUUAGAGUUUGUAGGUUUUUUUAAACUCGUGUUUACCAGAACUUGAUGUAAAGAUUUUUUUGUAUUUUAACUUUAAAAUGUAUUUGCAUUCGGAAAGAGAAUUAUCUUGAUUUUUAGAUUAUAACUCUAAUUUAUACAAAAAAUUGAUAUAUUUAUGAAAAAUAUUCACUUAAUUUAUCAAUAUUAGAUUAAUUGUAACGUUUUGUUUAUGAUAUAUUCUAUUUACUUUUUUUAUUUAUUUUUAUUGUACCUUUUGAUAAUUCAAAUUAAAAAAGAAUUAUACUUUUUCUAUAGAGGAAUAUAUCACUUUUUAAACUAAAUUUUCAUUCAAAUACAUUAUUUUAAUUUUUUUUUCGGUUUUGCUCCUCCCUCGCACAAUUCACAGGACAAAAUCUUAAAGAAAACUAUCAAACCUCUUUUAAUAGUUCGUCCAUAAACCAAAUUCUAUAUAGGUUACAUCGCAGGAAUUAUAAAAAAAAAAAGGUUAGAAAUUUACCAUCUGGCUCCAAUUUUGUCAUCAUUGUUUUAAAAAAAGCCAAUAAUAAUAUUUAAACGUAUACGAACGCUUGACUUUGACUUUCAGAAGCUGUAAAAUAUAGGGUGACGAAGAGACAGAGAGAAGAGACAAGAGAUAGGAGCCGAGAGAGAGCCUUCAUUUCAAGGCUCAUUAAUUUUUAUGAUUUUUUAAAUAAUAAUGAUGGUUAAAAAUUACAACUACUCUUAAAAAACAAAUGAAAUAGAGUAAUGACUUUUUUUGUCAUGAUAUAUACAGUCUUUUAAAUUUCAUAUAUAGUCAUGAAUUGAGACUGUAAUAUAAUUUAGAUUUAUAUUUGAAUUUCCAAUACUUCAGUCUAUCCUAAAAUAAUAUUAAAUUUAUAUGAAAUUAGUAUUAUUUGUGGAAAAAAUUUAUAUGAAAUUAACAUAACACUAUUUUCUACCAUAAACUAUCUUUCUCAUCUUUCAAUAAAUAAACGUCUUCACUUUCUUCAAUUAUCAUCGAUUAACAUUAUUAGACACAAAAGCAUCUAUUUAUUCUUUUAUUUAGGAAAAGCUUUUUAUCCAGAGAAGGUUUGUUUCCAUACCCAAACUAACGGACUAAUUACCAAUAUUCAAUUAAGAUCCUGCAAAAAAAAAAAAAAAGUAAUAAAUUUUACUCAAUUUAUAAAUUAGUAGCUUCAACUUAAUAUUAAUAAGGAUUUUUCUCAAAUUAAAGUUAUUUUCAACUCGUUUGAGAUGUAAUAAUUAUUAGUUGAUAAAACCUAACACGAGUGCAGUAGAGUCUUUUUAAGGAAGUUAGAUAAAGUUUCUUAUGUCGAUUAUGAAACUAAUAUAUAUGCAACAACAAAAAAAGUGUCAAUUUUUUAUGUCAGUAACAUAAAAAGUCCACAUUUUAUGCGAAUUGUGUUAUAACAGAAAUAGAAAAUGUGAUAUUAUCAACUAAUUAUUAUUAGUUGAUAAAAACUAACAUUAUUGCACUAGAGGCUUUUAUGCCUGUUAGAUAAAGUUUCAAUUUUUUAUGUCAGGUUUGAACCAAUAGAAAGUUCCCAUUUUAUGCUAAUUGUGUUAUAACAAAUCUAAAAAGUGUGAUUUUUCAUUUUCUUAUUUUUAUUCAGUUGCUCUUCGAUAUUUGUGAAUGAUUCACAGAUAUAGUUUCGAAAGAGUGGGAGAAAGGUGUCAUCAUUUUGUUGGGUGAGUGCUUGGGAAGAAGCCCCUACACGAAAAUGUUAGAGUAUUUUUUUAAUAAUAGACCGUGUUUUUUUGAAACAGUGUCUACUAAUAAAUAAUGCUUAUAAAAAAACACUUCCCCUCCCUGUUCUUUUAAAUUUUUUUUAUCAUUUAUUUAAUUUUUCGUUCAACAUCCUCAGAUCUCAUAAUUUCUUAAGAAAAAAGCAAUAACGAUGUGAAGUCUCAUUAACUCCUACACAAAUCAAAAAGUGUAAUAAAUAUGAGAGGCUCAAACAUAACAAAAGCUCUAAGCAAAAAAUUGUUUACAUAGAUCAUAAAAUAAUAGAAAGAAUAUGAAAAAGACAAAUGUCAGCUCAUACUUUAAUAUAUCAAUGAAAAGUUAUUAUCAGAAAUAUAUUCCAAAAUACAUCAAAAUAAACAAAACUUAGGGAAAAAAACAUAAAUGACAAGGCUAACAAAUAUAUAGCUUUCUAAUAUUUUAAGUCCCUAUUUUUAACAUGUCAAUAGUGGGACAUAGUUUUGUAGGUUGCACAAUUUCGUCAAAAAUGCAGUAACAGUUCGGAGUCUAGUAUGUAUCAUGACUUUAUUGUUGAACUCACUCCUACUUAGAACACGAUGCAUUUUUAUGAUACAAGCAUUAAAAUGAAAUAUAUAGAUUCAAAUCACUAUGAACAAUGACAUAGUUUCAUAAGAUCAUAUAGAAGCAUAACAUAUUAACUUAUAAUAAAUUUUUACUAAUGAGAUGAAAACAUCAAUCUUCUCUAACAUCAAUCUUCUCUAACUUCAAUGAUUUGAUUGCCAUAUAUUAUUGACAAUUGCAAUUAGAAAAAUACUAUAAUAAAGAAAUAUAAUAUAAAAUUAUUCAAUUAAAAUUUUACUACAAAUUAAUUAUAUAUGCAAUCAAGAUAACUUACAUCGAUUGACAUUGUCCCUCCAUAAUAGGUGAUAAUUUCCUUUAUGUAACGACAAAUGUAAUAUCCACAAUCAUUUUCGUUGGCUUGUUUUAGACAUUAGAAAACUAAAAGAAGAAAACAUCAACAUAUUUCCUAUGAACAACAUCAAUUGAUCUUAAAAUAAACAAUUGUAAUCUACAUCAAUUAGUAUCCACUUUGUUUCGGUUGAAUUGGUCCAAAGGUCGGUCUGCCUUCCUUGCUCUACUCUCUAUCAACCCUUCAAUCUUCUCUGAGAAUGCAAUCCUCUGAUGGGUGGUUGACCUGCAAAAGACACUCCAACCCUCAAGUCUGAUAUGUUUUAUAAAGAGGUCUAUAUUUUAUUAAAAUAGAUCAAAGUUAUUUUACCUGAACGUCAAUAGUAUAUUUAUAAGGCUUGUGAUAGGCANAUGUUUUAUAAAGAGGUCUAUAUUUUAUUAAAAUAGAUCAAAGUUAUUUUACCUGAACGUCAAUAGUAUAUUUAUAAGGCUUGUGAUAGGCAAACCCAUUGAUUAACCAUUAGUGUAGUAUAUCUUUAGGCAGUCAAACCCAAUAAUCAAUAUAGUAUAUAUGUAAAGUGUAAGACAAUCUAACUUAUUAAUACCUGUUAAUUGUCCAUAAAUGACAAUUAAUUUCGAUCGGUAUACUUCAUAUAGUACAUAAGCCCCACAAGCCCAAGCAAGCUCUUUAUUGAAAGAGGUGCGUAGGAAUUAUUAUGAGCUUUAAAAGAGGUUGCUAACGUUGUAUUUAGGGAGUCUAUUUUCGAUAUGCUUUAAGUCUUCAUUGCUCCCUGUACCGAGCGACAAACUCUAGGAGCUCUCUUUGGAACUAUUCCCUAGACUGAAUAGAAAAUGCUAAGAGUUUUCUUUGAAACUUUUUCUUGUGCAAGAGAUUUUCACUCCAAAAAAUAUACGUUUAAAUAAAAUAAAGUAAACGCUUCAAUAUUUUAUAAUGAAAAGGCAUUGGAACCUGACAAAGUUGAACCUGUUGAGUAGUUGACUGAUAGUUCCUUUUCGAAUUUCCUACGUUGAGCGGAGAUUUUUCAAGCCAUUUUUUUGACUUCCCCCGAGCAGCUUGAGGCAUGAGUCAUUUUUAUUAUUUCCUGCGUUGAGCGGGGAUUUCUGGAGCCAUUUUUCUGACUUCCCCCCGAGCGACUUGAGACAGAAAUCAUUUUUCUGACUUCUUACGUUGAGCGGAGAUUUCUGAAGCCAUUUUUCUGACUUCCCCCCAAGCGGCUUGAGGCAAAAGUCAUUUUUCUGACUUCCUACAUUGAGCGGGGAUUUCUGAAGCCAUUUUUUUGACUUCCCCCCGAGUGGCUUGAGGCAGGAGUCAUUUUUCUGACUUCUUGCAUUGAGCGGGGAUUUCUGAAGCCGUUCUUCUAACUUCCCCUCGAGCAGUGAACAAGUUAUAGAGGAUUGAAUCUUCCUGUGCAAAAUAUUUUUACUCACAGAUAUUAUAAUGAAAAGUGGAACCUGCCAAGGUUGAACGUAUGACUGAACCUUCCUGUGCAGGAUAUUUUUGCUAAUAGAAAUAUGAGUUAAACAAAUACAUUAUAAUUUAUAAAUUAUAAUGAAAAGUUGAACCUGCCAAGGUUGAACGUAGGACUGAAUCUUCCUGCGCAUGAUAUUUUUACUCACAAGAAUGUGCGCUAAAUAAAAUAGUUAAUAUUUUAUUUUAUAAUGAGGUAACAUUAGAACCUGAUAAGGUUGAACGUAGGUGUGAACCUUCCUAUGCAAGAUAUUUUUACUAACAAAAGUAUGAUUUGAACAAAUAUAUAUUAUAAUUUGUAAAUUAUAAUGAAAAUUGGAAUCUUCCAAGGUUGAACGUAAGACUGGAGCUUCCUGUGCAAGAUAUUUUUUCUCACAAAAAUAUGAGUGGAACCUAUCAAGGUUGAACGUAGGACUGAACAUUUUCUGUGAAAGAUAAUUUUACUCAUAAAAAUAUGAGUUAGACAAAAUAAAGGACAUCCUUCAAUAUAAUAUAAUUUAUAAAUUAUAAUAAAAAGUUGAACCUAAUAAGGUUGAACGUAAUCUGAACCUUCCUGAAAGUUCUCAAAACAAAAGACAUGAAUUUAGAAUAUAUUACGAAGUUUUUUACUCUUGUUGCAAAACCUGGUGUUGAUCCGAAGUAGCGAUGUCGAGACCCAGCACACGUCUGAUUCUUUGUGGCUUCAUGGGGAUGCCACUCGGCCCCACGGUGGGCACCAUUAUGUUUUGGUUGAAUUGGUUUGAGGGUUGGUCGGCCUUCCUUGCUCUACUCUCUUUCGACUUUUCAAUCUUCUCUGAGAACGCAAUCCUCCGAUUGGUGGUUGACCUGCAAAAGACACUCUGACGCUCGAGUCAGAUAUGUUUUAUAAAGAGGUCUAUAUUUUAUUAAAAUAGAUCAAAGUUAUUUUACCUGAACGUCAAUAGUAUAUUUAUAAGGCUUGUGAUAGGCAAACUCAUUGAUUAACCAUUAGUAUAGUAUAUCUUUAGGCAAUCAAACCCAAUAAUCAAUAAUCAAUACAAUAUAUAUGUAAAGCGUAAGACAAUCUGACCUAUAAAUACAUGUUAAUUGUCCAUAUAAUACACUAUAUUUUAACAAAAUAGUAUUAUAUUAAAAGUAAAAUUUAAAAUUUAAACUAUAUUUACAAAUUCAUAAAUAUUAAAGUAUAAAUAAGAGUUGAGUAAACUAUUGAUAAAGUUUCAAUCCACUUACCUAACCCGAUACAAUUAUCCAUUUUAUUACUUAAUUUUAUUUUUUUAAUAUUCACAUUUAACUAAUUCAUAUGUUUCGGGUACGUCGAGUUACUUCAAACACCUAUACAAUUUCUCCUUAAAUGUCGCUUGGUUACAGUUCAUUCUCGUUUGUCUUUGCUUCUACCAUUUGGAGGGGUACCUGUCAAAGGUUCUCUAAUGUUUAAGUCAGUGCACAGUCCCUACGGUAAUCAACACAAUAGUAUUAUAUACACAGUAAAUGCGAUCACCUAUGAUGGAAGUCGCCUCUACCUUCAAGAAUGGAGCGGCUUCUCGAUCCAGAAGUGGUAGCGGAAUGGAGAUUGGUUAGAGAUGUUUUGUUGCUUGCAAGGUGUUUGAGAAAUUGUGUGGUAGUGUUCGGAUGUGGUGUGGUGAGGAAUUCUAACUCAGACGACUUUCCCUAGGGGAAAGGAGGUAGAGGGAAACAAGCUAAAAUAACUUCAAGCAAUGAAAUCGAGAGAAUGGCUGGAUUUCAGCAGCACUUCAUUAUCAUACUCAAGUUGGACUUUUACAAAGGAUUAAGCUCUCUUUUAUAGGAGAAGAGGAGUUGUCAAACGUGCCAAGGAAGCUAUCUAUAUUUCGAAGUAAAUGUGCUGAAGAAGCUUAUCCUACGUGGGUUUCAUUUUCCAGCUGAAACAUAUUAAUCACGUGCUAAAGGAGAGGAUGCUAGUCUUCUUCUGCUGAGCGACACUAAGGCAGCGCUGAGCGCCGGCUACAUGAUGCCUCUUAUUUGCUUCCUUUGUGCUAUCUUGCUUCACUACAAGAAAAGGAAGAAUUUUUGAAGGAAAUAUACCAACGGCCUUUUAGGCCUUCGGUAAAGUUGACUUAUCGAAGGAUGUAGCGACGGUCACUUCUGUGGUUGAUUACCGAAGGCUUUCGACCGUCGGUAAUGGUGCACUGAAUUUACCGAAGGUUUACGACCGUCGAUAUAAGCAUCGACUUAAUGAAAUGAGAAUUUGGGAUUUCCCUCUCCCAUUCUCCCAAUUUGUGUUUUCGUGCAAUCUUUCCCCAAUUCUUCCUCUCUCACUUCAUAACCCCAAAUUGCAUCUUCCUUUGUCAUUGAGAACCCCAAUUUCUUCAAUCAUUGUGUCGACGUCAGGGUAGUGCCGGUGAGGAGGGUGGUGGUUGACGGAUUACAUUGUUGCAAGGGGGUUGUUCGAAGGUGUUUGUUGUCGAGGUUGCUGUCGCAGCGUGACGACGAUGUUGUGGCAACCUGACGACAGUGUGUGGCGGUGUGACGAUGGUGUUGUGUCAGCGGGACUACGGUGUUGUGGUAGUGUGACGACGGUCUGGGCGGCAUGACGAGGGCUUCAACUGUCGCAGGGUGAGGCUAGUGUAGGGGGUCUGUGACGAGGUAAGGUCCUUCUGUGUGAAUGAAAUGUGUGCAAAUGUGUAAUGAAAACCCCUAAUUCACUUCCAUUCCAAAAAACAUAAGGUUAGGUUGACAAAGAAUUGGAAUUGCAGUAGGAAAGGGAGGAAUAGAGUCUUGGGAGCAGACGUGACCAAGCAAGGAAGGAAAAGCCCAAGGUAUGGUUCGGUGCUGCAAACUCAUGGUGAAUUUGAUGUGCUCUGUCAUCUUAUUUUGUUGCAAAGGCUACAUUGAAUUUGCAUGAUGUGAUGUGCUCUUUCAUUUUAUUUUGAUUCUUGUUUCUUGAAUUUGAUGUUGUUCUAAAUGAAUAAAUUUGUCUAGGAACCUUAGCUCAAGUAGUACUAAUCUUUUUGGAAACUACACCUUAAAUGUGAUAAAAUUUAUAGAUUAAAGAGAAGUAGCACUUCAUGUAAUGGUUUACCGAAUCACAAAUGGAGACCAAAGAAGUGAACCAUGCUUCCAAGGUACCCCUUAUACAACUGAGCAGCUGCUUCAGUUUCCAGAAUUAAUGAAUAUGCUUUCUCUUCUACUAGAGCCAAGGCCACAAUCUUAUAAACUUUAGCAGCCUAAUAAAUUCUAUUACAAUAACUAGUUAUUCUCUAGGACUCAUCAAUGUUAGUUGAUCAAAGUUCAACCAUGUUGGCUUUUCUACGGGCUAGUAAUUGGGGAACAUGUUUUGCCCCUUCUCACCAAGAUUACCAAAUCCUACAUUCAUCAGUAAAUCCUUUUUCCACAAGGUAUCUAAUCUUUUGUACAAGCUUCAGAAACGACCUCUUUAGAACCUUUGAGCGGUCACCUUAUCAAUGAGGUAUAGAAAUGGACCCAAGCAAGGAUUAAGAGGAUAUCGCUGAACCCUCUUGUAGGACCAAGAAAAUGCCUCAGGCAAAUCUUUUCCUCUUAAUUCCCUAAGCCAUCUCUUCACAUCUUUUCAUGAGAUAAAUAAAAGGCAAUACCUUUAGCUAAUAUAAAUCACAUUAGUCACAGCAAAAGUGAUCCAUCAACACCUAGAAAGAGGAAGUAAAUGAUGUGAAUACUUCUCACUUCUCCUAAAGCUUUGCCUUCCAUUUCAAUUUCUCUUGGUGUGUUGUUCUUCUUGCUUUUGUUGCAGUAAACACCAAUACCCUCUUAACAUGAUAUUCACAAAUUUCAUAUCAUUAUCAUAUAAUAUAUGGUUAAUAUAAUGUAGGCCUGGUAGGUAGCUACAUGAGCAUAUAUGCAUGGAGUGCUUACUUGUUCUUAUAUUCUAACAAGAAAACAAAAAAAUUUUAUCUCCCUAACAAGUGUACUAAAUAGGUACUAAAUAACCUAAAAACGUGUACUAAAUAGGUCACAAAUUGUGAAUUCACCUAAACUAACCUAAGAAUGUGUAUUCUACACAUCCUAACAAGUUUAAAGUAGUGAAAUGAAGGUAGGAAAGUAUUGAACAACAAAGAAUAACCUAAAACUCAAAGUUUGAGUUUUUAGUACCUAAAAAGUGUAUUUUUAAGGUAAAAAAUUGUCAAUUCACCUAAUGUAGACUCUUUCUAAGGUAUGUAAACAUCCUAACAAGUCUAAAGUAGUGAAAUCAAGGUAGGAAAGUAUUAAAAAGCAAAGAAUAACCUAAAACACAAAGUUUGAGUUGUUAGUACCUAAAAUGUGUACUUUAUCCCUUAUGAGAUGACAAUCAAUUUCAAUAUGCUUUGUCCUCUCAUGCAUGGUUGGAUUCUAUGCAAUUUGUAUAGCAGAUUGAUUGUCACAAAAUAGAGGAACUGGUUGUAGUAGAGGUUGUUUCAAAUCAUGGAGCAAAUAUAGAAGCCACUGAAUUUCACAUGUUGUGGAAGCUAAGGCUCAAUAUUCUGCUUCAGUUGAUGAUCUAGAUAUAGUACCUUGCUUCUUGGAUUUCCAGCUGAUUAACCACAGAACACAUUAAAACUAGUCACAAACCUUCUAGUGUCAGGGUAAGCAGCCCAAUCAGAAUCACUAAAAGCCUUGAGAGCAUGUUCUGUGUUGGAGGGAAAGAAUAAUCCUUGUCCUUGAUUAUUCUUGAUAUAUCUCAGGAUCCUUAUUGUUGCUGCAUAGUGAUCUUCCAAAGGAUUUGAAAGAAAUUGACUGAGAGUACUAACAACAAAACAUAAAUCUGGUCUUGUGUUGGUUAGAUAUAAUAACCUGCCAAGAAGUCUUUUAUAGGCAUGCACAUCUGAAUAGGGUUUCCCUUCUGUCUUGGAAAAUUUUGUACCUGACUGUAUAGGAGUAGAAACAGGUUGGCAUCCCAACAAUCCUGCAUCUUCUAGUAACUCUAGAGCAUACUUCCUUUGUGACAAAUUAAUGCCCUGUUGAUAUCUUGCAAUUUCUAAGCCCAAAAAAUAUUUAAGUUGGCCUAGGUCUUUAAUCUUGAACUUUGUAUUCAAUAAAUCCUUCACAGUCUGGAUUUCCUGAAUGUCAUCACCUGCCAAGACUAUAUCAUCUUCAUAAACAAGUAAGAUGGUGAUAUGAGCAUAAUCACUUUUGACAAAAAGUGAAUUAUCUGAUUUUGAUUGUAUGUAGCCCAAAGAAAGUAAAGUAGUUGUCAACUUGUAAUUCCAUUGUCUAAAGAAGAAAAUUAAUUUUUCAUCACGUUCUUCCACAACCAAUUUUGUUCUUGCUCAGAUCUUCAUCCUCUACCUUUAGUUAUUGGCUUUCCUAUUUUAUUUUCUCCCUCUAUGGCUACUCCCUCUGUUACUCUCACAUCAUUGCAAGAUACAACACACUACUAUUACAUUCACCCUAACGAGAAUCCUUCAUUGGUGCUUGUUUCUCCGAUUCUUGAAGGUCACAAUUAUCAUGGAUGGGCUCACUCGAUGUCUAUGGCACUACAAAUGAAAAAUAAGUUUGGCUUUGUUUAUGGUUCCAUUCCUUGUCCAACUGAUAAAGAUCCCAUGGUUCACGCAUGGAAGCAUUGCAAUAAUCUGGUUUUAUCUUGGAUCAAUCAUUUUGUUUCUUAUGAUAUUGCUACAAGUAUUAUCUGGGUUGACUCUGCCACUGCGGCAUGGAAGGAUCUCAAAGAUCGAUUCUCCCUCCCUAGGUGAUUAUGUUCAAAUUUCACAAUUGCAUCAAGAUCUUUAUUCAAUGCAUCAAUCUGACCUAAGUGUUACUGUAUAUUACACUAAAAUGAAGAUUCUGUGGGAUGAACUUUGCAAUUUACGCCCAAUUCCUAAAUGUCAAUCUUCUGCUUCUUGUUGUAUUGUUUCUAAGACAAUCAAGGAAUAUCGUGAAAAUAAUUGUGUUCUUUGCUUUCUUAGAGGCUUGAAUGAUAAUUACUCUGUUGUCCGCUCUCAGAUCCUUCUCAUGGAUCCCUUGCCUUCUUUACCCAAAAUUUUUCAAUGAUAAUUCAACACGAGCGACAAUUACAAUCAAGAAUUCUUUCUUAGCCUCUAGUCAUAGCGGCACAAGUUUCUCAAUCUAAACAUUCUUUUUCUACCUUCAAUGGUAGAGGUAAACCCUCUCUUGCCAAUGAUUAUGGCUGGGGAAAAUCUUCAUUUCAAGGUUUUCAGGCUCGUUAUCAAGGUUCUCAGGCUCGUUCCUCAGGGGGAAGGUUUGGUGCACCUCGACAAUGCACUCACUGUGGUAGGACAAACUACACCAUUGAUACAUGUUUUUUGAUACAUGGAUUACCACCUGAUUUCAAAUCAAAAAAGGUCCACAGUGUUACCACAAAUUCUUCAACAACGGUUCCUUAUAAUAAUUCUCAGGCACAGUCACAUUCCUCAACUUUGGGACUUUCUCAAGAGCAAAUUCAUGGUCUAUUGGCACUUCUCCCUCAAUCUAAUCCCACAGCCCCACAUUCUACCAAUCUAGUGAACUCUCAUAAUAUUUCCACUUCUUCUCAAGCUCAAGGUAAUAUCUAUUCCCAAUGGAUUCUAGACACAGGUGCUACUGAUCAUAUAUCCAAUUCUUUGUUUCUUAUAUAAAAACACAAUUUAUAUAAGAUCACAACUUAUUGGUUUUGUUUCUUAUAUAAAAACACAAUUUGGCAUUUAUGUAAAAGCUGUUAGAUCGGAUAAUGGUAAUGAAUUUGCAAUGACAAAUUUUUAUAGACAAAAAGGGAUAUAACAUCAAUUAUCUUGUGUUGAAACACCUCAACAAAACGGAGUUGUUGAGAGAAAACAUCAACACAUUCUCAAUGUUGCUAGAUCUUUAAUGUUUCAAUCCCAUUUGGCAAAAUUUUUUUGGUCUUUUGCUGUUCGUUAUACUGUGCAACUCAUUAAUAUUUUACCUUCCAAAAUUUUGGCAUAUUUUUCUCCAUCUCAACUGUUACACAAUGUUAAACCUGACAUUACUUACUUGCGAGUUUUUUGCUGAAUUUGCUAUGCUUCCACUCUUCCAGUACAAAGAACAAAAUUUCAACCUCGUGCAAGAAAAUGUGUUUUACUUGGUUUUAAAACAGGAGUGAAAGGCUACCUUUUGUUAGAUUUCAACCCUAGGGAAAUUUUUAUAUCAAGGACUGUAGUAUUUUAUGAAAACAUAUUUCCUUUUCUUACUAGUGACAAGCACACACCUAUUGAUACACAAAACUCCUUGGAUUUUGUCACCAAAAUCAAUUCAUCUCUAUCACCUCUUUUCUCAAAAGUUACUGACCAACCCUCUUUACCACCUACAUCUCCUCCUUCUAUUACUCCAGACCCUGUUAGUUUUUCUUCUCAACCUGUUUCUGUUGAACCUGCCACUGCUACUCCACAAAGGAAAUCAACCAGGCUCGGAUACCAUAUUAGGAAGUGGGUUUAAGCCUAACUCAACCCCACAAAACCGGCUUGUAAGGUGAAGUUUGCACCUCACUUAUAUAUUAUAAAUUGGCCUUAUCUCUAGUCGAUGUGGGACUUUCAACAGUUCUUUUGGUCAUCCUCUGCCCAUUUAAUGACAGAUUUACUUUCAUCUUCUUUGCCACCUGUAGCUUCUUUUUCCUCUUCUUUUAAAUCCUAAAUCCCAUCUCAGAAAUCCAUAUUAUUAAAAUUUAAAAAGUUGCUAAAUUCCAUGUAUUCAACUCUCACCAUGCCACGUCUUAAAAAAUAGACACAUCAACCUACCACAUGUGCACAAACUUAACUUCGUUAAAUAAAUUUAACGGUAGGGGCUCAAUCGAUUCAAAUUAGCACUCAUAAGGACUCAAUCAGGGAUUCUAAUAAGAAGGGGAUCAAAAUGGAAAAAACCCCACAUAAAUAGGGACAACUAAAGGAUUGAAACCUUAGAUUAAUGUUGUGGUAGCAACAUCCUAACCAUUACCACUAGUAUAAAUAAGUUGGAUCAUUGUAAUCAAGCCAAAAAGAACAAAGCAAGACAACAUCUACAUCUACAAAAACAACUACAACACUUCUUUCAACUACUAUCUCCACAUUUUCUCUUCAUUUCACUAUCUCUACAUUUUCUCUACUCUAUCAAUUAUUCCUUUCACAACCUCAAACUACUAACAGUUAUUUUUUAUUUCUUGAGGGAGCAGUAGACACCAUCUUUAGAAAUGUUUCUCUUGACAACCAUUUCUUUCUUGAAUCAAGCCUUCAAAAGAGAAGGUAUUAGGUGGUUAUUUUUGAAAUACUUAAGGUCGUAGUGUACCUUGUGUUGAAAAAUCUUUACGACUACAUUUGAGAGAAAACAUAAGGAUUUGAAAUUGGAUUAUCAAAUGAGUUACGUAAAAGUAUAGGGCAAACUACUACAUCUGAGAGAGAGAUUGAAGCAAUGAGAGUUGUGGAAUGUAAAUGCUUCUAAGAAUCCAUUCUUGGAACUUAAUUGUACAUGCAUUAUUUCUUAGUUAAAAAAUAGCAUUCAAGUUGUUUGUGAGCAUUGCAUGUACCUUCCAUUUUGUAUUACUUUGGUUUCCAUCUAUUCACUGUAUAUUAAAACAAAUGUUAUGCUUAGAACUCAUGUCAAUUGUUGUUGAACCAAAUUUUCUAGGGUUUUGCUCCCUCUACCACCACCCUUUCUCCCUCCACCUCCCCAACCCUCUAUAAAAAAUUUUUAAUUAUAAAAAUAGCCUUUUUUUUACUUUUAAUCCUAUUUAUUUACUUUAUUUUGAAACUCUAAAUUCCUAUCCAUUUUUACUUACUCUUUUUCACUCGCGCAGCCCCAUCCUCCCACUCUCUCAAGUCUCACUUUCUCCCUUUCCAGAUUCCCACCCCCCAACUCUCACCAGAUCCGUUUCUUCUCAUCUCCCACCAUUUCUUCUCAUCUCCCAACACUUACUUUUCUUCUCCAUAUCUGUUUGGUUCUUCUCCAUAUUCCUAUCUCCAUAUCCAUUUGGUUUUGUGGUGUGGCAGUGCGAGGUGUUUGCGGUGGUCAUUCAACGGUACAACGGUUCCAAACGAUAAUGAAUAUUUUAUGACUAACAUCAUAAAAAAAUAAUUUUAUUUACAUUGAUAAAAAAAUGAAAAAUGUGUACAUGAAUUAAUUAAAAAAUUUCAAAUUUUCAAAAUUCUUACUAUUUAAUUCUAAUUUAAAAUUUUCUAAAUUUAUAUGUUCAAAUUCUUGUCUUAAAGUUAUAAAUUUCAAUAUUUUAAUUUUUUUAUUUAAAUGAUUAUAUAAAAUGUUUCAACCUUUUUUAUAAAAUUAAUUAUCCUCCACAAUAUUUUUUCUGACACAUUGUGACAUAUAUUUCUUCCUCAUUUAUCAACAUUUUUUUUAUGUGAGAUUGCUUAACUCUUCGUACGUUGGUGUGGGUAAGACAAACAAUCAGAAAGUUCAAAAGAUACAACAAUGGAAAGAAGCAUAAAAAGCAGAGAGAGACACAAGAAAAUGAAACAUAGAAACAUGGGUCUACCAUUAAAAUGAUUGUGUUAUUUAGGUGAUGAGAUCGAAUAGAGAAAGAAACAGCAUAAUUGUUAAUAACAAAUGUUUGUUGGUUAAGCAUAAAUCAAAUCAUCGCAUUCAUGUAGGGAAUUGAGGUGGAUAGAAGUUAAAAAAUAUUAAUUCUAAAAAUAAAAUUCUAUUGAAGGGUAAAACAAGAAUAGAAAGGAGGUAAAAGGGAUAAACAGAAAUGGGGAGGUGGAGGGAGAAGCGGUGAUGGUGAAGAGAGCAACACCCAAUUUCUAACAUUUAUCUCAUAUUGGCACCUGAUAAUAUAUUUUUUUUAUAGUUUAAAAUUUGCAUGCUUUAUUUACUUUUCAUUAUAAUUCAAUUUAACCCUAUUUGUAUCGUCGUCACUAAAAAAUAGUUUAUUUAGUUAAAACGUAAAAUAAAUAUAUCAACAUAUUUACAAUUUAAAAUUGGACAAAAUUACAUUAAAAAAUAUAUAACGACUAAAAUAACUAGAACGUAAUCAUAUAUUUUAAAAAAAAAUAUUAUAAAAUAGUUCUUGGAGAAUUACUUGCAAAAAUAUUAAUUGAAAAAAAUAUACUUACAAAUUUAAUUUUGGAAGAAAAAUUAAUUGAGAAUUAUUUGGCAAGAAAUUACUUGCGAACUUAAAAUAUGUAAUAAAAUUACUUGUGAAAAUUUAAAUUUGUAGGAAAAAAUACCUAUUGAUUUUUAAAUUGACUUUUUCGCAAGAAAAAUUGUUAUGGUUUUUUUUUUCAUGAAAAUUUGUGGCUGAAUUUUUUAUUGGAACUUUUGCAAGAAAAUUCCUGCGAAAUUUUUAAAUUCUAUGGUAACUAAUUACUCACAAAAGAAUUACCUACCAAUCAAAAUUUAUAGGAUAAAUUGUAAGAAACACUCUUUUUGGAAAUUUUGGAAAUAUAAUGUUAAAUUGUCUGGGUAAGCUAGUUUGUGUUCAUUGCAGACCUCGCUAGAUGAAAAUUUGCAUUUGUGAUUUUUGUUUUCUAUUAUUUUUAUGUGUUAUAGACUUUGAGCUUCAUUUUAGAGUUUUUAGGUUUUCUUAAACUUAUGUGUCUAUAUAUAGAGGUACCAAAGUUGAUGUAAACAUUUUUUAGUCAUAUUAUAUGCAUUUGUAUUUUUUGAGAGAGAAAUUGGUUCUUAGAUUAGAACUGUGAUCCUUAUUAAAGAUUAACAUCUUUGGGGUGAAUAUUCAAUUAACUUAUCAAUAUGUUAGAUUAUGACAUCUCCGUCUCUAUCUUAUUUUGCAUACUUUUGUUGCGCCUCUUAAGAGAAAAGAAAGAAAAAAGAGCGGAGAAAGAAAAUAGAGAAAGAGAGGAGAAAGAAAAGGAAAGAGAGGAUGAUAAAGAAGAAAAAGAGAGAAAAAUAAAACAAAGAACAAAGAGAAAAAUAAGAGAGCAUCUUCUUUUGUCAUUAAAAGAAAAUCCUAACUAAUCUCUUUUAGUUUUGUUGUGUAGGGAAAAUUUGUUUAUCAAGAAAUCAUGGAAUCAACAAUGGAAGGAAGACAUGGUGACAGAAAAGGAAGACACAAGCUUAGAACUAAAAAACUUGUGUUUUAUAAUCGGUGAGCUUGCUUGUCAAUUCAUUUAGAUAUUCAAAGUCAUUCUUUUAGUAUGGAAACAAACUCAUAUCCAAAACCUUAAGACAACGGGUUAAUAGAUCUUUCAUCUUUAUAUAGUGUUUUACUUUCUCAUUUCUAUCCAACGUGGGACUUAAACUCACAUUUGGAUUCCAAACACUCAAAACUAUGUGCACAUGAUGGUUUACUUAGAAAAUAUUCUUUUGAUUUUUUUUGAGAUUGCAUCUUUAAUUUAAAAUUGUUUGAAGACUUACACGUGGAUAUUUGACCCUGGAGGUAGACCUCUAAAGCUUUGAUAAUAAGAUAUUGGCCUCUUUCAGAAUCCAAAUAUCCUUUUAGUAGUAUUUUUUUAUUUGAUGAUUUUAGAUUUGUUUUUCUUUGAUUUAUGUUUGUGUUUCUGUAUAGGAUCUUCUAGAAUUUAGGUCGAAUUUUCUUCAAACACGAGAGAAUGACAAGGAAUCUUCAAGUGGUACGAAUUUGAGAACAAAUUCCUUUUAAGAAGGAAGAGAAGACUAUCCCAUAAACAUAUAUGAGAAGAACUUCAGGAAAAAUAUUUGCAAUUAAAAUAAUUUACGACAAAGUUAAAGAUUAAAACACGUAUUUUUGAAACUUAUAAUGUUUCAUGAAUAAGGAAACUUAAAGAACAUGAAAAUACAAUUUAGGAAAUUAAGUAGAUUGUAAUUUUAUUUAAAUUUUAUAGAAGGAUAAAUUCCUUGGAUGGGCUAGUUUGUGUUUAAUGGGGUGAGUGUGUGUCUAUAGUUUGUGUUUAAACAUCUUUUUAUGUCUUGGACUUUGAAGUGUAUUUACAUAUUUAUUGAGAGAGAAUUAUCUUUGAUCUUGGAUUUUAAGUCUGAUAUUUAUUAAAGAUUAAUAUGUUUAUGAGAAAUAUUCACUAUUGACAUUUUUUGUUUCUGUUUUAUUUUAUAUACUUUUUUAAAUUAUUUUUAUUAUACCUCUUGAUAAUUAAAAUUAGAAAAGAAUUGUACUUUUUCUAAACAGGAUUAUGUCACUUUUAAACUAAAUUUUUCAUUCAAAUACAUUAUUUUAAUUUCUUUUUAUUUAUUUAUUUUCUUUUUCGUUUUGCUCCUCCCUCGACAGAAUUCACAGAAUCCCAUUUUUGAAAAUUGGUCGCCGUAAAAAGGAAUUCCAGUAAAGAAUAUGAAGAAAAUGCUACAACACUAGGUUAAAAUUUGACACUCAAAAACCGAGUUCCUACUUUCAAACACAUACUUUAACUCAUUCCUAAACUCUAAAUCUUAAAGAAAGCCAAUAAGAAUAGUUAAACAUAAGAACACUUGACUUUGGCUUUCAGAAGCUGUAACAGAGAAGAGACACAGAAAAGAGACAGAGAGAAGAGACAAGAGAUAGGAGCCGAGAGAGAGUCUUCAUUUCAAGGCUGAUUAAUUUUUAUGAUUUUUAAAAAUUACAACUACGCUAAAAAACAAAUGAAAUAGAGUAAUGACUUUUUUUGUCAUGAUAUAUACAGUCUUUUAAAUUUCAUACAUACAGUCAUGAAUUGAGACUGUAAUUUAAUUUAGAUUUAUAUUUGAGUUUCCAAUACUUCAGUCUUUACUAAAAUAAUAUUAAAUUUAUAUGAAAUUAGUAUUAUUGGUGAAAAAAAAUCACAUCUAGCGUGGAUUGAUCCAUUGCUUGACUUUUAUAAAACAAUGUACCACAUUUAAAAAUUGAGAAAAAGAAGCCAACAGUUAAACGUAAGAAGCUUUAAAGAUGUGAUGAAUUUUAUAGAUAUUUUUGAAAAAGUGAUCGCGUAAGGUGUAGGAGGGGUAGUAUAAAAGAGGUGUUAUAUAUGGUUGAUUGAAGCAUAGAAAACAUUGGUAGGUUAUAUGAAAAAGAAGAUGGGAAACUGUGGGAUGCUAGUUUUGUUGGUUAUGCUACUAAUUUCGGAGCCUACAACACUUGCUGAGUUCAGCAGUGAAGGUUCACUUGUGCAACAUAUGAAGACAGUACGUCUUGCUGCCAUUUUUGUAAACCCUAGAAAACCGCCUCGCAUCCCUAUCCCGGGGACUCCAAACCCUAGAACUCAUCCUAGGCCGCCUCCGACACACUGACCUAAAAACCACUAUGCUCCGUUGCCGUAGCCUAACCCUAUUUUUCAUCAUAAACAAUCUUUCUCAUCUUUCACUAAAUAAAUAAACAAACAUCUUCACUUUCUUCUUUCUCUUUUAUAACUAAAUUGUACUCCUAAACAAAUUUAUAUAUCUUUUUUGCAACUUCCUUUGUUAGUUUGAUGAUAUGUAAUAUUCAAAUUUAUCUCGAGUUGAGUAUAUUUUUAGUAUUUCUUACAAUAGAUUCAAUUAUCAUUAACAUUAUUAGACACAAAAGCAUAUCUAUUUAUUCUUUUAUUUAUGAAAAGCUUUUUAUCCAAGACAAGAUUUGUUUCCAUACCCAAACUAACCAACUAAUUACCAAUAUUCAAUUAAGAUCCUGAAAAGAAAAAGUAAUAAAUUAUACUCAAUUUAUAAAUUAGUAGCUUCUAUUUAAAAUUAAUAAGGAUUUUUCUCAAAUUAAAGUUGUUUUCAGCCAGUUUGAGAUGUCAAUUAUGAAACUGACAUAUAUGCAACAACAUAAAAAGUGUCAAUUUUUUAAGUCAGUUUUUUUAACCUAAUAUAGAAAAUGUGAUUUUCCACUUUUUUUAUUUUUAUUCAGUUGCUAUUUGAUCUCUGUGAAUGACUCACAAAGCCAGUUUCAGAAGAGUGGGAAAAAUGUGUGAUUUUGUUGGGUGAGGGCUUGGGGAAGAAGCCCUUAACACUACACCAAAAUGUUUAAUAGAGAGCAUUUUUUUAAUAAUGGACAGGGUUUUUUAGCGCUUUCUAUUAGAACGAUGUCUACUAAUAAAUAGUGCAUUCUAAUGGCACUUUAUAGACAAUGCUUCGAAAAAAUAUACGCUUUUUAUAUAUUUUUCAAAAGGGUAAUGAUAUUUUAACAAUACUUUUUGACAACUUUUUUUACAAUGGAAUACGUGUCAUCACUUUAUUGAUCUAUUUGAAUUUACGUUUAAAAAGUAUUUAAAACAGAUCAAUCACAAGCUGACACGUAUGUGUUGUCAAAAAAUUGUUAAAAAAAUAUUGUUAAAAGAAAUUUUUCCUUUUCAAAAGACAACUUUUUACGAAAAGUGUUUUCUAUCAGAUCACUCGUAGGGCUUGUUUUUCCAAUGCACUCUCUAUGUAUGGUUUAAAUAGACAACGCUUCCUACAAAAAGUGUUCUUUAUCACUCUUCUAUAGAUACUGAAUUAUGCUUUAAUAGACGACGUUUUUUCAAACAAACAUUCUCUAUUGUUUCAAUUUUUUUUUUUUAUAAUCUAUUUAGUUUUUCAUCCAACGCCCCAGAUUUUGUAAUCUUUUUUUUAAAAAAAAAAACCCAUAACAAUAAAUAAGUGAUGUUAACCAAUAGGUGUGGCAAAAUUAUUUCUGUUUCUUUCGAUGUAUAGGACAGUGUUGGAAAGGAUAUAUUUAUUCUUUUGCAUUUAUGCAUGAGCGUCAGUGAAGAUUGUAUUUUUUAACCCUUUUGCAUGGAUGCAGUAGCUAUUAGGAAGAGAAAGUAUUAUAUGAAAUUUUAUUCAUGCAUGGGAUGGGUUGUAGAGAACAUUUUGGUGUAGGCGGAGGAAAUAAAAUCCUCAGACACACAAAAAUAUAAUUGCUUCGCAUGUUUUUAAGGGGUAUAUCUACAUACCCUUAAAACCCACCGUUUUAUAUCUUAGUUACUAAGGCUAUUUUAGGAAGCAAAAUGAACCUAGAUAGGAAAUUGUUGGGCAGGGUAUUAGAUGGGUGUUAGGGUUAGGGUAGAGGAGAGUAACAUAUAAGAAGAUUUUAAGUAACAAGAGGGGACACACUAAACCUAAAGGGGCAGCGGUAGAAACAGAAGGCGGCAUAGGAAACUUUAGAUUCAUCUUUUCCUUGAGAACCUAGAGGCUUUGAUGUGGGAUCGUUCUGUGUUGCCGUGGAGGAAGAGGGAUUCUUUUAAAGGGAUGCUGAGAACCUAGGAGGGUGUAGCAAAUCACUGGAAGCCAUAAAUUAUCUUCGGUCGUGUGAUGCGGGAAGAUAAUGAUUUGGCAAUGAUGACUCUUUCAGUCGUGUGAUGUGGAAAAGAAACUUCGACGGUGUAAUGUGGGAAGAUGAUGAUUCGGUAGUGACGACUCUUUCGGUCGUGUGAUGCAGAAAAGAACUUCUAUUUAGUCGUGUGAUUAGGUGGUGUGGCUGUGUGGGAGUGUAGAGAAAAUAGAGCAUUGAGUUGUUAUGUUAUUGUUGUUAUAUUAUUGUUGUGAUGCUAAUGUUGUUAUGAUAUAUGUUUAUGAUUUGAUUAUUGUUAUAGUUAAUAUGAUUAUUGUAUAUUGUGUGAUAUGAUAAUUCCGGUUGCUCACCCUGAAAUAUUGUGGUUUUGGUUUCCAUUUUCGAUGAUCGUACUUAUACGGGAGUAGAUAAUUUGCAGAUAAGAUCGGAUCUGAGUAGUUGACGAGAUGUUAUGUUCGGGGAUUUAUUAUUUAUUUUUUAUUAUUUAAAAGUUUGCCGAUUUGUUACUUUUAUGCAAAAGUAAUAUUAUGAGAUUUCCCGACAAUAUUUAUGAUUAUGUUUAGAUUUCAUAAAUGUAUUAUAAAAAGGUUUAAAAAAAAUUGCACCUGGACUUCUAAAAAAUAAAUAAAAUAAAAAAAAAUGGGAUGUUACGUUUGGUAUCAGAGCUUGCCUGGUUAUCAAAAUUUUGUUUACUUCAGUUUAUUAAUAAAAAAUUAUUAUCAGAACAAUAAGGAAAAAAACAUAAAUAGUAAGGCUACCAGAUAUAGCUUUCUAACAUGUUGCCAAUAAUUUCCUAUUUUUAACAUGUUGGUAGUCAGACAUAGCUCUUUAGGUUGUGCAAUUCCAUUAAAACUGCAAUUUAAAUCAUUCAGAGUCCACUAUAUAAUGACUUCAUGGUUGAACUCACUCUUAGUUAGAGUCCAAUGUAGUUUUACAAGUCAAUAGAUUCAAAUUAGCAUGAGUAAUGACUUUUGAUAUUACAUACAAAUUUUAAUUUCUUACAUACAAAUUGUAUCCUUAGGUAAAAUUCCUGCCUAAACACACCAACAUUACAUACAAAUUUUAUGUACAAAUAUGUCGAUAGGUAAAAUCUGUAUGCAACUUGUUUUUCAUGAGCCGUAUAUAAAAUUCAUAUGUAAUACCUAUGUUACAUACAAAUCAAAAUUCGUAUGUAAAUAUCGAUAGGUAAUAACCAUUUUUUUGUUGUGAUUAAAAUGAAAUGUAUAGAUUCAAAUUAGCAUGAGUAAUGACAUAUUUUUAUAAGAUAAUAUACAAGUAUAACAUACUAACCUAUAAUAAAUAUUUACUAAUAAGAUAUUAACAUGAAUCUUCCAUAACUUCAAUGAUUUGAUUAUUGACAUCUGCAAUUAGGAAAAUACUACGACAAAGAAAAAUAAUAUAAAAUUAGUCAAUUAAAAUUCUACCACAAAUUAAUUAUAUAUACAAUCAAUAUAACUUGCAUUGAUUGACAUUGUCUCUCCUUCACAAAAGGUGAUAAUUUCCUUCAUAUAGCAACAAAUGUAAUACCCAUAAUCAUUGUUGUUGGCUUGUUUUGGACACUAGAAAACUAAAAGUAAAAAACAUCAAUAAAAUUGGUAUGAACAACAUCAAUUGAUCUUGAAAUAAAAAAUUGUAAUCUAUCUUAAUUGGUAUCUACUUGAUAUGGUUUAAUUUGAACUUUAAAACCAUAUUUUCUUUUUUGAGCUCGAUAGGUUUGUAUAACCUUAGUUAACAAAUAAAAGUAAAGCAUAUAUGAGUAAAAAAAAAUACAACUACAAGUAUACAUAUAUUUGAAUCACACGUAUAUUCUUACAUGUCAAACAACUUCUUCAAAUCUUGCGUCAUAUUGAUGUCUUUCGCCAAUGGAUUAAGAUAGUGAAUUAUCUCAUUCAAGAUGAUUCCGAACAAGACCCAAUGAUGGCUAAAAUUUGAAACGAAUCACAAAAUUAGAAUUCAUGCAUCUAACUUUGAAAAUAAUUAGUAAAGUUGGAAAGAAAGGUAUUGUCCUAUAUUGAUAGGUGCAAGAACAAACAUAUAAAUCACCCCAUUAUCAAGAAAAAUAAUGACUAUUUUUUGCAUUCUCUCUUUCAUUGAAAGUUCAUGUGUUGUUAUUUGGGGUGAUGAAAAUAAGAAAUCCUCAUGAUUUGGCUUAUAAAAUUUUGAUAUAUAUUUAUUCCGUCAGGCUUAAUCAUAACCACAUGUCACAUGUUAUACGAGUUGCUUUGCAUACCAUAUAGAUAUAUUCUAUAAGUAGACAAAGCAAGAUAUGAGUUUCGUACUUCUUUCUCAAAAUUAGGAUAAUCAUGGUCAACUUUUUCCCAUUAAAGAUAGAUAGAAUGUGGAAACUUUCCAUCAGUUAUCCUUUCCUCCACAUGUAAUCUUAAGUUGUUUACAUAAUUUGACACAUUUAAACUCAAAUGUCAAUUCUUAAACAUCACUUAAUAUAUAAAAAAUUAAACACAAUAACAAAUUUCAAUUUUAAUGUAUAUAAAGAGUCAUGAAAGCAUCAAAGCCCAUAAUAUGUCUACAUUUAAGAAAUAAAACUAAACAGUUGUGUGAUGAAAAUGUUUACUCGGUCAAUUAGGAUUAAUGAGUAUAGAGGAGGAUCAAGUUUGGCAAAAUUUAAAAUAUUACUUAACGACAAAAGAUUGAUAGAUGUAUCUCAAAAAUGCAUUACAGAAAGAAAACAAAGGCAAUGGUUAGCUUCAAAAAGCCGAAACACCCAAAAUUAUUUUCUAGCAAAUUUCCAGUAUGCACUAGAAAACUGGAAAAGGCCUUUCUCUCUUAUCUAAUAUUAAAUCUAACAAACAGCAUAGCUACAACCCAUGCUUCGAACUUUCAGUAAUAAACUGCAAAAACGAAUACAAACGUGAUAUAUUUUAAAAUUAACCUUUAAAUUUUAAUGUAAUGUAGGCUAGUUAAAAUCCCAUCUAACCCCUUCUAUCACUAUAUUCUAUAUAUUACCAGUUCUACCCUUGUCAAUCUCCCUUUUUUCGGUUUUGUUUAAUUGCUUUUUAGAAAACUUUUUGUAAUUUUUAGAACAUGGAUUAUGGUUAUUCUUAUUUUAUUUUUCUCUUUUUAAUAGACUAUUGCAUAUGAUUAUCGAAGCACGGCAUCUUAAUUAGGUUGACGCAUAUUCAAAAUAAUCUAGCAUAAAUUUAUAAAAAAAAAAAAAAAAAAACUAAAACACUUGUAAAAUUACAUGUAAUAUCCUCUCUCUCUCUUUUUAUAUAUAUAUAUAUAUAUAUAUGGGGUUUGCUAACUUGCGUACGCCUAUUUUUCAGUUGGUACAUUUUAGCAAUGUGUACCGGGUUUCGGUAGACAAAAAUACCCUUAUAUCAUGAAUUCUAAGUUUUAAGGUUAAGGAUAUUUUAAUAAUUUUCAUUCUCAAAAUUAAAAAAAAAAAAAAAAUCUCCCCAAACCCUUGCUCACCUCUCUCAUUCCUCUCAACCCUUUCUCUUUCAUCUUUUUUACUCCAACCUUUUCUUCUCUCUGUCAUCCUUACUCUAGCCCCAAUUGAAAAAAAUCAGAAAUACUUGCCUUAUUUUAAUAAUUUUCAUUCUCAAAACUAAAAAAAGAAACCCCAAACCCUUACUCACCUCCUUCAUCUCUCAAUCCUUUCUCCUUCAUCUCUCUCACUCAAACAUUUUCUCUGUCAUCUUUGUACUAGCCCCAACUAAAAAAACACUCAUUAUUAAAUAAAAUGGUUAGAGAAAAANNNNNNNNNNNNNNNNNNNNNNNNNNNNNNNNNNNNNNNNNNNNNNNNNNNNNNNNNNNNNNNNNNNNNNNNNNNNNNNNNNNNNNNNNNNNNNNNNNNNNNNNNNNNNNNNNNNNNNNNNNNNNNNNNNNNNNNNNNNNNNNNNNNNNNNNNNNNNNNNNNNNNNNNNNNNNNNNNNNNNNNNNNNNNNNNNNNNNNNNNNNNNNNNNNNNNNNNNNNNNNNNNNNNNNNNNNNNNNNNNNNNNNNNNNNNNNNNNNNNNNNNNNNNNNNNNNNNNNNNNNNNNNNNNNNNNNNNNNNNNNNNNNNNNNNNNNNNNNNNNNNNNNNNNNNNNNNNNNNNNNNNNNNNNNNNNNNNNNNNNNNNNNNNNNNNNNNNNNNNNNNNNNNNNNNNNNNNNNNNNNNNNNNNNNNNNNNNNNNNNNNNNNNNNNNNNNNNNNNNNNNNNNNNNNNNNNNNNNNNNNNNNNNNNNNNNNNNNNNNNNNNNNNNNNNNNNNNNNNNNNNNNNNNNNNNNNNNNNNNNNNNNNNNNNNNNNNNNNNNNNNNNNNNNNNNNNNNNNNNNNNNNNNNNNNNNNNNNNNNNNNNNNNNNNNNNNNNNNNNNNNNNNNNNNNNNNNNNNNNNNNNNNNNNNNNNNNNNNNNNNNNNNNNNNNNNNNNNNNNNNNNNNNNNNNNNNNNNNNNNNNNNNNNNNNNNNNNNNNNNNNNNNNNNNNNNNNNNNNNNNNNNNNNNNNNNNNNNNNNNNNNNNNNNNNNNNNNNNNNNNNNNNNNNNNNNNNNNNNNNNNNNNNNNNNNNNNNNNNNNNNNNNNNNNNNNNNNNNNNNNNNNNNNNNNNNNNNNNNNNNNNNNNNNNNNNNNNNNNNNNNNNNNNNNNNNNNNNNNNNNNNNNNNNNNNNNNNNNNNNNNNNNNNNNCUGUACAUAAGAAUUAUCUUAGACUUUAAAUUUUAUUAAUAAAAUUGCCGGCUUUGACCACAAAAGUCUAAUAACCAUAAAAAAUCAAACUUCCACACUUUGGCUUUGACCACUUUACUAGUGUUGCCGAGUCAUCAAUAUUUCAGUUUCCUGUUUUCAGAGUAUUAUUUAAUAAACCAAGUGACGCCUAUAUAUUGUCUACUUCGUUGCUCCUCGCCAACUCUGUUCUUUCUAUUCUUACACCCUUCUCUGCAAACAUGUUGCGGUUGCCUUAUGCUAUUGUUUUCCUUUUGACUGCAGCAUUUGUGGUGUUAUGCUCAUGUGGUUGCAAUGAAGAAGAAAGGCAAGCUCUUCUAAAGAUCAAAGGAAGCUUCAAAGAUCCUUCAAGCCUUUCAUCUUGGGAAGGAACUAAUUGUUGCCAAUGGAAAGGUGUAGGUUGCAAUAAUCUUACAGGCCAUGUUGUCAAGCUUGAUCUCAGAAAUCCUUGUUAUCCCUUACAAGGAGAUUUUCAACCAAAUUGUAAGUUUUACGAUCAUGUCCUUGAAGCUCAACAUGUUCACCCUUCUAUAUUGCAGCUUAAAUAUCUAACUUACUUAGAUUUAAGUGGAAACAGAUUUCAUAAUAGUUCAAUACCAUCGUCCAUUCAAACGCUGCAGCAUCUGCAAUUCCUUUAUCUCUCUGAUAGUCAGUUUAGUGGUAGGAUCCCAUACAAUCUUGGGAAUCUCACUAAAUUGCUCAUUCUUGAUUUGAGCUUCAAUCAUCAUCUGUAUGCGAAUGACUUCUACUGGAUUUCUCAACUUUCAUCCCUCCAAUACCUUUACAUGAGUGAUGUGAAUCUUGAUAAAGCACAAAAUUUGUUGCAGUCACUCAACAUGCUUCCUUCUUUGAUAGAAAUAGAUUUGAGAAAUUGUGGACUCGAUAAAUUGCACACCCAUCAACAUAUUAGCACCACAAACCUUUCCAGACUGGAAUACCUCAAUCUAGCAGAAAAUGGACUUCAGACUCCGUUUCUGGAUGCUUUUCAAAAUAUGACUUCCAUUGCAAUCAUUGAACUUUCUCACAACAACCUGAAUUCCACUCCCUUCUGGUUGGAAACCUGUGCUAACCUCGUCAGUCUAUUUCUUGAUAGUAAUGCUCUUUAUGGCUCACUUCCAUCUGCUUUGCAGAAUCUGACUUCCCUGGUUUCUCUCGACCUUUCACAAAACAAGUUUGAUUCUGUUCCGGGUUGGUUAGGUGAGUUAAGGGGUCUUCAAUACCUCAAUCUUUCAAGUAAUGAUGUCAAUCAUAUUGAGGGAUCUCUGGCAUCUCUUCUGGGAAACUGUUGCCAUCUUCAACAAUUAUAUAUGUCAAGAAACAAAAUUCAAAGUGAUGCACUUGGAAACCAUAUACAUUUUGAAUGCAUUAGGCACGAUUUAAUGUACUUGGAUUUAAGUUACAACGAAUGUAAUGGUCCUUUGCCAGCAUGGUUGGGACAGCUUGAAAAUCUAAGUUCAUUGAUUAUGACUGACAGUAACUUGGUGGGAUCACUUCCUUGUGCUAUGAUAACAAAACUUGUCAAUCUGGAGAAUUUGGUGCUUUCCAACAAUAACUUCAAUGGUUCUCUUCCUGACUGUAUCGGAGAACUUGUCAGUUUAAAAAUUUUAAUUCUUUCUUCCAAUCAUUUUGAUGGGGUCAUUCCAAGAAGUUUAGUGCAACUUGUAAGCCUAACAGAUAUAGAUCUUUCACGAAACUCUUUAAAUGGUACCAUUCCUCACAAUAUUGGUCAACUUCAAAAUUUGUCGACCCUCUAUCUUUUUGAAAAUAAGUUACACGGAAACAUUCCUUUCAGUCUUAGUCAGCUUCUAAACCUUCAGGACUUAGACAUAUCCCUAAAUCAUUUGGAGAAUUUGGUGUCUGACAUAAGAUGGCCAAGGCAACUUGUCUACUUAAAUCUCACGGAUAAUCGUAUCAGUGGGUCACUUCCCCAUGAUAUUUCUGAUAGCUUGCCCAAUGUCGGAUACUUGCUUCUUGGAAACAACCUCAUAAGUGGUCCUAUUCCAAACUCAUUGUGCAGAAUAGGCUCCUUGUACAAUCUUGACCUUUCAGGAAACAUGUUAGUUGGUGAAAUUCCUAACUGUUGGAGUGUUACUCAAAGACUCGGUGUCAUAAAUUUGGCAUCCAACAAAUUAUCAGGUGUCAUUCCUAGCUCUCUUGGUAAUCU
rnacentral:lncRNA from 1 species